rnacentral:lncRNA from 1 species
GGAAGACGCUGACGAAGAGGACGAGGAUGAAGACGAGGACGAUGCUGGUGGUAAGGUCGAGCCUCCGCCAAAGAGGAAGCGAUUGGACAAGGACAACUCUGACGACGACGAUGAUGAUGGGGGCGAGGAUGAUGAGAGACCUGCCAAGCGAUAGGCCCAAGGGCCCUUCGUGGUCUGAGCAAUGACUUUGACAUAUUGACUCUAUUUUCUCUCUCAAAACCCGAUCCUCUUUGCAGCAGGGAAAAAAGAUAGCUGGUUUUCAAUUGGAGUAAGCUUUUUCUUUUGGGUCGUUUGUGUAUCCUGAAAGUGCAUUAGGAUUACGAGCAUAACUCUUUGUACUGUCGAUGCAUAGUCCGCACGGGUUUCGACAAACUGUGUUGCAACAGCUGAUUUAGACAUGUGGCCCCGUGGGAGUUAGGAGAUUCGGCAAACAUUUCAUUGGACACAGUCAUGUUUUGUAGGUUUCUAUAAUUAAGAGUUCUCUGGUUAGGGUCUUUAAUCCUCAUUUUUAUGCGGUCUUUGAAUCUUUCGGCAUGUCUCUAUCUCAAUACCCAUCCUCCCAGUUCCUUUCUUUCUCGUCUUUUUGGCCAUUUUCUCAGUUCAUUAGAUGCAUGUGAUUUGGCAAAAGCUCAACUUGGAUGGUCGGGGUCUCCUUUUCGUUUUCAAUUGAGGCGGAUGUGCCAUCCCUUUGAGGUGAUUCGUUUAAGACGAUCACAAGUGAUGAGUGUUCCUAAGUUUCUCAUCUCAUGCUUUCAUUACAAUGAGUUCUCCCCGGGAAGGAGUAAGGGCAUUGGGCCAUGCGAAGAGCUUCCUCUUUUCAAACGAAGGUGAACCUCCAAAGAGCUUUUGCGAGCGGAAACUGGUGGAAGUUAUAUUUUCGUAAGUAAUGAACAACGGAUGAAUUCGACAUGCGAACAAUGAUUGACCAAGUAAGGUCGACUUCGGGUUGGUUUUUAGGAUGGUUGUCCGGUACUGAACCCGGUUACUUCCUUGCACGUAUAUCCCUAACCAAUUUGCGAAUCUCCUUACGGAUGCAAAACCAUUUCUAACUCCGUACCUACUUACCAAAGGUUCGACUUUCAACCUUCACAAUGGUUUAAGUUUUCCUCCUCCAUCAUUCGAUAGUUUGAAUGAAGGAGUCCCAACCACAUGAACCUUUCAAGUACAAAACAUGUUAUCGAGUCUAGUGACUACAGAUUUGCACUGGCCGCGAUUCCUUCAGGACAUAGCCUAUAUGAUGGACUACGAAAGUAGAGCAUCGCCAUUGAUUCUCAGAGCAAAUGGGAGGGGGAGGGGGGGAGGGGGGGUACAACUUAAAACAAGUUAAUUUACAUCUCGCAUAUGCAUAUGAAAGGGCAACCCUCUCCACACGAAAGAGAGAGAACUGCGGAGAACAUCUCCCUCUAACUGAAAUUCCCAUAUUUUACGUUUCCAAACGCGUAUACCAAAGUGUUUCCACAGCAACACUAGUACACAGAGGAACCGAUACGCAUAGUAUUUUCCCCGUUACAAACACGUGUAAUUCAUGUAUAACGCUGUCCGUAAGUAACAUCGAAUAUGUCAUGCUAGAUAAUGGAUGUCAACCAAAUAGUUAAAAUCAUCGGCCAACAGAAACUAGUCCUCAAAAAACAUCCGAUAAGCAUCUUAACCAAAGAAAAUAGCAGGCAAGAAGCCAUGCGUCAUGUCAUCUGGUUCUCAAAGAUCUCAAUGCUCUAGUCAUCUGACAAUGCUCUAGAAGGAUUGAUUUCUCUUGAUGGAGGAAGGUUAGUAUCAGGAUGGCCAUCCAUGACUAGCUGGUAAAGCGUUGAAAGGUUUGCUUGUUACCACGGAUGGUGUUAUACAGACUACAUGCUUCGAGGAGUAUUCGCCUCGCCCACAAUUUAUAUGUUCCCCCUGGUAUUCCUCCUAGAUGUGAUGUUGCACCAAACCUACCGCCCCGUUUGGUUCAGCUUUUCCAAGGGGCUUUGGGCAUCCCUUGGAAAAAAUAUUUUGCGUUUGGUUCGCACUUUUGAGUCUCCAUUUGCCAAAUGCCAGCAUUUGAAAUUCCGAAAGCCCAAAAAGCUUUCAGCAAUUUCGAAAUGUUAGUCUAAGGUUUAAUGAAUUAAUAUUGCUCUAAUUGAUAAUCAUGUUUUCCUCUUUUGCUCUCAAAAAAUACUGUUCAUUGUCUUCUUCCUUCUUUCUCACGAAGCUCCCGCCUUCCUUGCGAAGCUCAAUCGGCGAGCGGUGCUCAGCUGUGAGCAGCCAGAUCUGGUUGCUAGGAAGCCUUGCCUGAGGUCACGCGACCUGAGGCGAGGUGGCCUAAGGUCAAGCGACCUCGGGUGUCACUUGGGUCGCUUAACCUCAAGCGUCGCCUGAGUCGCGCGACCCAGGGCGUUGCCAACCUCAGGCAACACUGCCUCCCCCCACCGCCACUGCCGCUAGCCGCCUCCCACCACCACCACCACCAUCACUACCGAGCAACUACAUCUCCUCCUCCCUUUUCUUUUCUUUUCUUUUCUUUUUUUCCUUUUUCUUUUCACCUUAAAGCUGCUUUGCAAAAUAUACACAAAAAUGAGUUUCCAAACACACUUGCAUUCACAAAAUGUCCAUUCAUUCAAAAUUACUUGGGGAAAUGCAAAGCCAUUUCCCCAAAAUUGAACCAAACGGGCCUCAAGGGAAAAAAAUGAGUAAACACAAGUGAGACAUGCCAGCAUAGAAGUAGCAUAUGAUACUAAUGUGCUGCCACAUUUAUCCUCUGCAAUAGCUAGAAACAGCGAACAACAGAUCGGCAUGGCAUCACCUUGCGACUAGAUGCAUCUCGUGCGUCUCUUCAUGGCCAAACAACAAAAAUCUUUUCACAACGGAAGUGCCGAUCAGGAGAGACUGAGUCUUCCGAUAUCUAAUUUAAUGUCAUCCAGAAUCAAGCUAGGUAAUUCUUCUUCUUCUUCUUCUUCAUUUCCCUUCUUGUUCCAAUACUUUUUCAAAAUCUCCGAGGCUUGUUUGUUGACCUCACUGUUCAUGUGAGUCUGGAGGUCCGUGAUUUUGUUGAACCCCUUACAUCCAUUAAUCAUGCGCAAAUAUUCUUUGUUCCCUUCACCGCUCUCCAGAAUGCUUUCCACACUAUCUAGGCACAGUGUUAUGAUCUGAGGGUUGGAGCAAGUAAGGAGAUCGCAGAGCGGCUUGAUACAACCCUGGCUCACCAAGUAUCUGCAAAAACAUAAACAAUCUUUCAUUGCAAUGAACUGCCGAUUAUAUUUUUUCCAGUGAGACUUUCCUUUUCUUCAUUAUUCUGCAAGUGCAGUCAACAUGAAAUGGAACUGCAUUCCCUGCUUCAUCAAAUCAAUGUAGGUAACAGGACAGAAUAAACCUAGACAAACCAUAUGACAAGCAGAAGACAACAAGAACGACAAUCUCAAAGUAAUUAACCAGUUAGUUUAUACAUGGACAUGAGCUAUGGGCGUUUAAUUCUCUUGAGCUAUUAAAAAUGAAUCACAAAGGGAACAACAUGGGCAUGAUUUCCAUCUUUUGGGUGAUAACCAGCACAAUGUUCCUCAUUUUGUGUUGGAGCAGAGCAAAUAUAGAUAGAGACAUACUGAAUUUGUUCAUGGGACCCGCCAGAGACAGCAUACGAAAUAGCCCAUGCAGCCUCUUUCUUAAUUUUGAAUUCAUCAUGUUGAAGAAGGCUCACGAGAGGAGGAAUAAUGUUUGCUUCAAUUACAGCCUGAAAAGGACAAUAGAACCAUUUUUAAAAGAUUGUAUAGCACAGUGACCUAUGGAAACAUCUCUUAAGAGGGUCAAUUUCAUAAUUAAAAUGCUAUGUCUCAUAGCAAAAUCCAUACAGGAUCAUUAGGGAUUCAGAUCCUGACUUGUCUGGUAAUGUUAUAGAUCUAUCAGAUAAGAAAAGCUCCUUCUAAAAAAUUAGAAAACAAGCAAAAGGAGUAAGAGUGAACGUAAUUCUGGUAUUCAAUCUUGAAAGUGUACUUUGGAAAUACGCCAGAAGUUCCUUAUCAAGAAAAUCAAAAGUGAAAACAAUUACUGUGUUGAAGGAGAGGCUGCUCUGACCAGAGAGAAGAGACAAGGUACCAUCAAUUAUAGAAAGAUUCACCUGGGAAUUCAGUAUAAUGACGGGGCAGCAUUUUAUAACAGCACGAUUGAGCAAAAGCAUCUACGAUAAGGCCUUAAUAGACACUUCUUUCAUAUUCAAUGCUCAAUACAAUAUACUGUGCUAUCAUCGAAUAGAGGUUUUACCUGAAUUUGAUUUAUGUUACCCGCUGUAAUAUUUGCAAUUACCCAACAAGCUUCUUCCUUGAUACUCUUAUCCCAAUUUCCAGUCAGAAUUUGACAUAAAGGAGGCAGUCCUUGAUUGUCAAUUACAAACUGCAAUCAAAAACCAAGUCUUCAGGUAAGGAUAAAAGAAGCUCGGUUUAAUCUUGGAAAGUACCUACGAAUCCCAAGACAAAAUAAACAAGUCAGAAACAUCAGUUACAUGAAUGCAGUUACUUCAAGUACAGAGAUAAUGGGAGAUGCACAUUUUGCUGCUCGGAAUCCAAAAGACCUAAUGAUUUCAAAAGACUGAACUACGUUUAUUAUUUUCAGUCGUAUAAGGGGGACAGAAAGACCUGAGUCUGAGCCUCGGUGCCCGCCACAAUGUUCCCCACAGUCUUAAGAGUUGGCACCUGGACUUCAGGUGAUGGAUGCCUGCAAAAGGAACCACAUAGGAAAAGAAACUGAAUCAAUGCCAAAAAAUAAAAUGGUAUCCUUAAAACGAAGUUUGACAGCACAAUCAGUGAAAUAUCCACCCUAGUGUCACUUUGUCUAUACCAAGAUCCAAUCAGUAUUCAUGAAGCUUAAGUAAAACCAAUUAACAAAAUCUUUUCAGCCAGUGAAGUAUGCUUAAACUAAGAGCACAAAUGGUUCGACUGUUUUACUAUGCUCCGUUCACAAAUUGGUCUUCUGUAUUUGUAUGCCCAGACUAGAAAUAUAUGCAGCAGACUCGACAUUCUUUCGCCAUGCAAGAAAACCCAUGUAUAUCAUCUUACAUGAGAAGUUCUAGAAGCCGAGGACAAAAUCCUGCGUCAAGCACAGACUGGAUAGUAGGAAUUGAGCCAUCACAAAUCAAAGACAGAGCCCUGCACGUGUCAAUCAAUACUGCUUCGUAGGCCGGCUUAACCUAAAGGCAGCAAAGAGAAAUCAUAAUCCUCCAAAAAUACUAAUAAAGUAUUUUAGAAUUCUGAAAGACAGGAGCGGAAAUUUUAAUCAUUAAAUUAUAUGACUCAAGUUCACAUUCAAUUCAGAAGUAUAAGGUGAUGCAACUGGAAGGUGUGUUGGAGCAGAAUCCUUCAUCUCAGUCACGAUUCUUUCACAACUCAGUUCAGUUUACAAUUGAGGCACAUGAACUCAAUGAUAUGGUGCAUUUCACUGAAGAGCCUCACCAAACCUUUGUGGUUUGGCUCAUUCUAACAACUUAAAGAUGUACUAACUAAGUUUCACAUCACAUGUGAUUCUAACUUGAAAUUCAAUAAUUAAAUCAGCUAAACCACUCGAUUGGGAAAGUAUAUACGAAUCCCAAGACCAAUUAAAAAAGUCAAAAACAUCAUUCACAUGAAUGCAGUUAUUUCAAGUUCAGAGAUAAUGGAAGAUGCACAUUUUGCUGCUCUAAUGCUUUCAAAAGACUGGACUACAUUUAUUAUUUUCAGUCUUAUAAGGGGGACGGAAAGACCUGAGUCUGAGCCAUGUCGCCUGACAAAAUGUUCCCUAAAGUCUGGAGAGUCGGUACCAGGACUGCAGGUGAUGGAUGCCUGCAAAAGGAACCACAUAUGAGAAAAGAAACUGAAUUGACACCAAAAAAUAAAAUGGUACCCUUAAGACAAAGUUUGACAGCACAAUCAGUGAAAUAUCCACCCUAGUGUCACUUUGUCUAUACCAAGAUCCAAUCAGUAUUCAUGAAGCUUAAGUAAAACCAAUUAACGAAAUCUUUUCAGCCAGUGAAGUAUGCUUAAACUAAGAGCACAAAUGGUUCGACUGUUUUACUAUGCUCCGUUCACAAAUUGGUCUUCUGUAUUUGCAUGCCCAGACUAGAAAUAUAUGCAGCAGACUCGACAUUCUUUCGCCAUGCAAGAAAAGCCAUAUAUAUCAUCUUACAUGAGAAGUUCUAGAAGCCGAGGACAAAAUCCUGCGUCCAGCACAGACUGGAUAGUAGGAAUUGAGCCAUCACAAAUCAAAGACAGAGCCCUGCACGUGUCAAUCAAUACUGCUUCCUCUUUUGAAUUAAUGAGGUGCCUGAGGGCAGGCAAGGCCGGCUUAACCUAAAGGCAGCAAAGAGAAAUCAUAAUCCUCCAAAAAUACUAAUAAAGUAUUUUAGAAUUCUGAAAGACAGGAGCGGAAAUUUUAAUCAUUAAAUGAUAUGACUCAAGUUCACAUUCAACUCAAAAGUAUAAGAUGAUGCAACUCAAAGGUGUGUCGGAGCAGAAUCCUUCGUCUCUGUCAUGAUUCUUUCACGACUCAGUUCACUUUACAAUUGAAGCACAUGAACUCAGUGAUAUGGUGCAUUUCACUGAAGAGCCUCACCAAACCUUUGUGAUUUGGCUCAUUCUGACAACUUUAAAAUGUACUAACUAAGAUUUACAUCACAUGCGAUUCUAACUAGAAAUUCAACAAUUAAAUCAGCUAAACCACUCGAUUGGGACUUAAAACCUCAUAAUAGACAUACUAAUACAUUAGGUGUGAAAUCCACAUUUUGAUAACCCUACCUUGUGAUCCAUGAACUGCGAAGCAACAUUUCUUUUCCUUCCCUCAAUCCUCUUAUAGUCUAUUAGAACAGAGGGCAAUGUAACUUCUCCAAUCAUUUCUUGAACAAUCGAAAGUCAUGACAGGGUCAACAUCAGUACUCUUCUCAGUCAAGGGAGACGCCACUUGAAUCUACUUUGUGUUUGCGUCUGUGCAUGUAUGUGUGUGCAAGGGAGUGCUUAAGGGUAACAAAAGAAUUGCAUUUUUUGACAACUUCCUGUUUUACCUUUAAACCACAAUUGAUUCUCACAAAGUUUCAUUGAACAUAUUACAUUUAAUUUAUUUUUGUAAAUCCCAAAAUGUGCAGUUUUGAGGCGCUAAGCUUCCUUAUUCAUCUAUUCUAGAUCUAAUCAGUGAAUCUUAUGGUCCACAACUCAGUUUUACGAAAGACGUGACUUGCCAUUGAUGUUUCAGACCUCAUUUUGACGACUACAGAAAUUAACAACGAUUCCUUUCCUGUUUAAAUGGAGGAGGAUGCUUGCCAUCACAUAAGUUGAGUAAAGUCCGAGCAAUGCUCCUCAUCAUGGUCGAUCCUGGAUGUUUAUCCAAUUGAGCCAAUAGUAGAUCUAGAGCGCCUGCACUUAAUACAAGAUCCCUGCAAUCUUGCGAGUCAGCGGCAAUAUUUGCCAGAGCCCAGAUAGCCUGCUUGAUUCAUGGGAAUUCAGAUUAGAUCAUCUUAUCCAUCAUAUUUACCAAAAAGUUUUAAGAAAUCAACUCAAAGAAUUGUCAUGAGAAAAAACAAAAGACCCAACCUGUUCUCGAGCAUAAGCAAAUGUAGAGUGAAGAAGUUGCACGAAUUUAGGGAUAGAUCCGAGUUGGAUGAUGAGUUGUACGUGAUCUGAUGUCCCAGAAGCUAUAUUGGCCAAUGCCCAUGCAGCCUCAGACUGAAGAUGAAGAAAUAUUAUGACAUGAUGGCAAAUGAUUUCCUUUUGGCUGCAAAAACUAAGAUCUCAGUGAAAGAACAUUGAUAGAAACUAAAAGGGACCAUACUUGUAGUAGAGGAAAAGCGCCCUCAUCAAGGAACUUCACGAGUCGAGGGAUGACUCCUGCUCUGACAACCGCAUUGAUCACAGGGCUCUCACCUUCGCAUAUAUAUGAUUUGUCAUUGAUCAUGCAAACAUUCCAAUAACAAUCAGGCUAAAGGAAAACAAUUAAAGGAGGAGGGACAGAGGGCUUUGAAAUUACCAGUCGAUAAGAACUUCCUGAUCACCGUGGUUGCUGCUAAAUACCGGGAAGAAUCAUCCGAUAACAGAUGUUCCAACUGUCAUGAAAACUGGUCAGAAACUAUUUGACCCGACAUUAGCAUAGCCACAGAUGACUCGUUUCAAAUGGAUAGCACUAAGUUCCGCAGCGAUGGCUGAUGAAUGCAAAAGCCCCAUUCCUUGUUGGUCAUCAAAAUAGAACUACAUUUUGAUUUUUGAAGGUUGACUGAGGUGAUAUAGCAGUAUAGCAGUUGCCCUGUCACUUGCAAUAGGUUCUGAUCGAUGGGGUAGGAAUAGUUGAGGUGGUUGUUAUCGCUCGCAUUUGAGGAUGUCUGUGGAUCAAGAAUCCCACUGAAUCUAUAGUGGCAUGUGUGGUCGGCAGCAGGAUAAUGAAAUCAGUUAAAGAACCCAACUUUGUUCUCAAACUUUUUCUUCUUUUCUGGACUCCUUUAAUUAACGUGAAGACUCUUUUCCCAAUUCAGUUCCUUUUGUCUUGACCAUUUAUUGCAGAAGACGGCACCAGCACACACAUAAUUGGUCGACCGUUCUCCAAGUUAUUACUGUACUGUGAAAAGCGAGGACUCUCUUCAUGGAAACAAACCCUCUAAGGACCAACCCAAAAAUCUAUUUCAAGGGAUGAAAAUCGCAUCUUGCUGUCCCACCUUUUCUUUUCCUGCAAAAAGCAAGUGUCCAAGAUUUCUUAAUUGCCUCGCUUGAUCAACCCCAUUUCUCUCCUUUUUUGUGGGGGAGCAUUUUAGUUUCUAUAAAUAACAAGUCUUCCCCAUCAACAAGAACGACGAGUCGCCCAGAAAACUAAGCUACGCAGUGACCCAAACGCACUCCAGAAAAUAAAAAGGAACUGAGCGAAGUAGGGUUAACAGCAAUUGAACACAAUCAAACACUAGGCAACAGCGGAAGGACGAAUUAAAACAUAAGAGAAAAAAAGAGAAAUGGAGAAUAAAAUGAAAAAGAAAAAGAAAUGUGAAAAAAGAAGACCUCGGGUAGAAGACGUUUCUUCUUGAGAAUUUCUGAUUUCUUUUCCUCCCUGAUUCGCACCAGCUCCUCCUCUGUCUUGCUCCUGGCUUUCUCGGGGCUCAAGCCUUUCUUGUGCUGGUUCUUGCGUGUCGCACUGGAUGGACUCGGAGACAUUAUUACUCGCGCCUCUCUCUACUCUCUCCCUCUCACUCUCUCCAAGGUCCUCAGUAGUGGGGGUUUGUCCCUCGCAAGAAGCUCCAAGAAGGUGUUCAAUGGAGAACGGGGAGUAGAGAGCAGAAAAACAGCAAAACGACGACCAAAACCGACUCGGGCUUCGUGCAGAGUGGAGACUGGUAGUUAAAGACUGGUAGUUGCCAAGUCUAGUCAGCUUGACUCUUCGUACCUCCGGAUCAUAAAAUUCGUUGGCGGGCCGGUCCUCGCCUCUCCACCAUUGCGAGAGAGAGAGAGAGAGAGAGAUAGAGAGGAGCAGCAAUACAUAAACAACGGUCGAGCCAACACAUGCUGGGACUACAGUUACUUCGAGACAGACCAGAUCAUGGCACCGGGUCCGGCUCGAUCAAAUCCGGUGGCGAUAGAUAGACCCUUCACGGUUGUCGAGCUCGAAGAGGUUGAAGCGGCCACGGUUGGUGGUGUUCAAGGAGAAAAUAUUGGGUGAUCCGGGAGCUCCACGUCAGCGUGGUCCCGGCCACUCACGAGAUGCCAUGUGAAGGGGUGGGCCCAUUUGGUGUCUUCUGCCUUUUUCCCAUUCUCUCUCCUCUUCUUAGCCUGCCAACGCCCUCUCCGGAGGAAAGAGAAGCCCGUUCCUUCCUCUGUCACUCUCCAUUUCUUUCCUUUCGAAAUUCAAGUUGUGCAGAGCGGACGUCACCGUCGCGUUUCGCUGGAAGAGAGGUGCGACUUCGAGGACGAAAGAGAGAGAGAGCGGACUAGAGGUCGCAAGAGGGAGGCAGAGGGGCGUCGGCGUCGGCGUCGGAAUCGAGGGCGAUGGAGUCAACCGGCGGAGGCGGAGGUGGAGGGCCAUCCGCGUCGCGUUUCGCGUACAGCACCAGCUUCUCCAGCAACCUCGCCUCCGAGCCUUCCGUGUGGGGGGUCUCGCUCGGCGGGCGACGCUCGCCGACGUUGAGGGGAGCUCGAAAAGGCCUGCUUCUCCUCCGCGUGCUGCAUCUGUGAUUUCGGGAACGCCGAAACGAACGACGAGCAGCAACGAGCCGAAGAGAGAAGCGAGCGAGCACCGGAGUAGGGGCGGCCGCAAUGUGGUUCGUUGGCGACGGCAGGGGAACGGCUGCUUGAUGCACGCCGGAGCAGCAACGAGAGCGCGGAGGGAGAAAAUUUCAGAUUCAAAAUUUCGAAAGGAAAGAAAUGGAGAGGGACAGAGGAACGAACGGGUUCCUUGGCAAGCGGAGGAAAGAGAAAAGUUUAAGCCGCAAUAAAUGCGCUGCACAGGAGACAGAGCGUGCAGGCUAAGAGAAGAGAGGGCGUCGACAGGCAUCUCGUGAGUGACUGGGGACCACGCUGACGUGGAGUUCUCGGACCACCCAAUAUUUUCUCGGUGUUCAAGGGUGGCCGGCGUGGCUUUGCUACGGUAGAGUUUCGGUUGCAUGCUAUGCUGACGUGGCAUCAUUCCGAAAGAACACAUCGGAUUGAUCGAAUUUAACGGAGACACCAUGUUGAAUUAAAUUUCAAAAGUUGAGAUAAUUAAAUCGGACUAAUAAAAUUUUAGGUAAUUGAUUGAAUUCAACAGAGAUGCCACGUCGUUGCCCCCUCAUAAAGAAGAAGACGACGACGACGACGACGACGUGCAGGAGGUAUUCCCCGCUUCCUGUAGGUCCGUGGCGGUGGGCGGCGACAGCGACGACAAUGAGGACGACGACGCCGAGGGCGACGGCAACGGCGAUGGCGACGACGAUGAGGAAGCUGAGGAUGACGUAGCAAAUUGAUAUCUUCGGCAGUCCCGCUAUAAGCUCAGCCAUCUUGUCGGUUCGAUUCCUAGCUGUGCUUGAGAAUUGCUUAUGCGUCUCUUCCUCUAUGGUUUUUGAAAAUUCUCUCUUUACCAAUAGUCGUAUCAGUUCGAGUUCCGAAAAAUUUCAUCUUUCUCGUGUCAGAAAACUCUCUCUCUCUCUCUGUGCUCUGCUCUGCUGUUCUAGAUCGAGUAGGUUGCGUCGUGUAUGUUGUCACUGUAUUGAGAGAGAGAUCUGUGUGAGCUACGCAGCAUCUCAUCUCAUCUACCGAUUCGCCUAUCGAGGGUUUAUCCUGGAGGUUAGGAAUUUGCGCGUGCCAGUACGUGGAAUUGGGCAAUGAUUCUUUUCGCGGAUUGUUUGUCUUGAGUAUUGACAUCGCGUAUCUAGCGUUUACUUUCUUGCUUUGCGUGCUUCGCGAUUUUGUUAAAUUGAGAUCCUGUGUUUUCAAUUUCUACUGUUCUAUGGAUUUUUUUUCUGUGGAUUUUUCUCUGUAGAGUGUCAAUUUUCACCAUCUGUUCUGAGCUUUGUUCCUUCGUGAAACCCUAAGUCCUAGCACUCUGGUAGCUGGUCUUCAUAUAUUCCUAAUAUUUUGAAUCUUUGACUGCUUCAAUUUCGCGAAUUUCUUGGGUCCUUCAAGGUAUCCGGGGAUCUCUGCUGGGAAUUUGUGAUUUUUUUGGUCGGAUGAAUUCAGUUCGCAUCAUAUACGGAUUACUUGGAUCUUUUCCAGGUAUUUGACCUUUUGGAAACAGAUUUUCAAAUGCUUCAGCUCGAAAAAAAGAAGGCUUUUAAGUGAAAAGGCAGUCAAAGAUUGAACUGGGUGUUUCUUGUUUGCUUCUCAGAGAAGUGACAAUCACGAGGACGGUCAAAUUUCGUGCUUUCAAGCUUGAUAGAUCUCUAAAUCUAGGAUUCUAAAUCUAAGACCUUGCACUUAAGCCUUGCUUAUUUAAAUGAAUUCGGCAGGAGUUGGGAACUGAGUACCAAGUCAGGCCUGUGGGUCGUCCUGAGGAUGAGGAGGAUGCAAGUGAUUUCGAGCCUGAGGAGAAUGGCGAGGAGGAAGACGCUGACGAAGAGGACGAGGAUGAAGACGAGGACGAUGCUGGUGGUAAGGUCGAGGCUCCACCGAAGAGGAAGCGAUCAGACAAGGACAACUCUGACGACGACAAGGAUGAUGAGAGACCUGCCAAGCGAUAGGCCCAAAGGCUCUUCUCCUUCGUGGGAGAAAAUAUUGGGUACGUCUUAUGUAGCCAGCGUGGCAAACAAGAAGGCGGUGGGAGCGCGACACGUGUCCUCGUGGGACCCAUAAAGUCAGGCGUCUGCUCCUCGACUCAGCGCUUCUUCCUCUCUCCUCUAACUCUCGUCUCGGCUGGUGGCUCGGCUCGGCUGGCAAAAGAAAGGACGUCCUCUCCUCCUGACCUGCACGCUCUCUCUCCUGUCAGAGCAUUUAUUGCGGAAACUUUUCUCUUUCCUUCGUUUGAGAAAGAAAAUGGCCGUUCGUUCCUCUUUCCCUCUCCAUUUCUUUCCUUUCGAAUUUUUGAAUCUGAAAUCCUCUCUCCGCGCUCGUUGUUGCUCCGCCGUGCAUCAAGCGGCCGUUCUCCUGCCAUCACCGACGAACCACAUUACGGCCGCCGCUACUCCGGUGCUCACUCGCUUCUCUCUUCGGGUUCGUUGCUGCUCCGUCAUUCGUUCCGGCGUUCCCGGGAUCGCAGAUGCAGCACGCGGAGGAGAAGCAGGCCUCUUCGAGCUCCCCUCAACGUCGGCGACGUCGCCCGCCAAGCGAGACCCGCACACACGGAAGGCUCGGAGGCGAGGUUGCUGGAGAAGCUGGUGCUGAGCUGCCUCGUCGUGUUCGACACUCCUCCGCCUCCCUCUCGCGACGUCCGCUCUGCUCUCUCUCUCCCCCCCCUCUGCGAAGUCGUGACUCUCUUCCAGCGAAACGCGACGCCAACGGCCCUCCACCUCUGCCGGUUGACUCCGUCGCCCUCGACUCCGACUCCGACUCCGACGCCGACGCCGACGCCGCCUCCUCCCCUGAACCCGACUCUGACGCCGACGCCCCUUCGCCGGUUGCCUCCCUUUCUGUAAGAAAUUCAACAUUGAGCCACGGGCACCUGAGUUUUAUUUUGCUCAGAAGAUAGAUUAUCUCAAAGAUAAGGUUGAGGCAUCUUUUGUGAAGGAGCGAAGAGCAAUGAAGGUAGUAGGAGUGCCAAAUUUAAUUUAUCAAUUGCUCUUUGCAGAUGAUAGUCAAAGUCUUAAUUCUGUUCUUGCUGUGUUUGCAGAGAGAGUAUGAGGAGUUUAAGGUUCGUAUAAAUGCUUUGGUGGCCAAAGCCCAGAAGGUUCCUGAAGAAGGGUGGACGAUGCAGGAUGGAACACCAUGGCCUGGAAAUAACGUCCGUGAUCAUCCUGGCAUGAUUCAGGUAUGCAAAGUUGUCAUUUUCAGUUUUAGAACUCUUUGUUGAUGUGAGAUGAGAUUAACUGCUUAUUUCUGCUAUCUUUAAUAGGUUUUUCUUGGCCAAAGUGGAGGACAUGACUCUGAUGGGAAUGAAUUACCUCGCCUUGUCUAUGUUUCCAGAGAGAAGAGGCCUGGCUAUAAUCACCACAAGAAGGCAGGAGCCAUGAAUGCUUUGGUAAGUGUCAUAAGAAUCCACCUUAGUUGGUAAACCCCCUUUUUUGCUCUCUCCAUUGACCUCUCUGUGAACUUUUGUUUGUCUAACCGGUCAGGGUCUCUGCUGUGCUUACAAAUGCGCCUUAUCUUUUGAAUCUGGAUUGUGAUCACUACUUCAAUAAUAGUAAGGCUAUUAGGGAGGCAAUGUGCUUCAUGAUGGACCCACUUAUUGGAAAAAGAGUGUGCUACGUCCAGUUCCCUCAAAGAUUCGACGGUAUAGAUAGGCACGAUCGAUAUGCCAAUCGGAACACCGUGUUUUUCGAUGUAAGCAUGCAAUUAUCAACCAUUGAAUUGCCUCAUGUCCAUUGCACAUACCAUAUCAUUAAUUCUGUGCAAGAAGAUCUGACGGAGAAAUUUCUCUCUUUCAGAUUAACAUGAAAGGUCUGGAUGGUAUUCAAGGUCCUAUUUACGUUGGGACUGGUUGUGUAUUCAGAAGGCUGGCACUCUAUGGUUAUGAUGCUCCAAAAGCAAAGAAGCCACCGACCAGAACUUGCAACUGCUUGCCAAAGUGGUGCUGUUGUGGGUGCUGUUGCUCUGGGACGAAGAAGAAGAAGAAGAAUACCAAGCCUAAGACCGAACUGAAGAAGAGAUUUUUAAAAAAAAAAGAUGCAGGUACUCCACCACCUUUGGAAGGUAUCGAAGAGGGCAUUGAAGGUGAGAUUCUGCUUUUGCAUGAAGUCCCACUUAAUUGUCUAGUGUUGGUUUACCUUUUUCUAUCAUUGAAUGUGCCUCUCAAUUUUGGCAUCAAUCGGUGAAAUCUUUUUAUUCUUCCAAAAGCUUGUUUUCUAUUGGGUUGCUUCCCAGUUAACAUCUGUUCCAAUUUGGACUUAACCAAUUUUGCUUCCUAUGUCAUGUUUAAGGCUAGUUCUUUUACUUAGUCAUCAAUACAUUCAUGUUUUCUUAUGCAGGAAUUGAAACUGAAAAUCCCACGCCUCAGCAUAAGCUUGAAAAGAAGUUUGGGCAAUCCUCAGUCUUCGUCGCAUCGACAAUGCUAGAGGAUGGAGGAACACUGAAAGGCACGAGCCCUGCAUCUUUGCUAAAAGAAGCUAUCCAUGUCAUCAGCUGCGGCUACGAAGAUAAGACUGAGUGGGGAAAAGAGGUAAGUGUAGUGUAAAUGCUCUCUUCAUGCAAUUCCCCGAAACAAUUAUUGUUUCUCUCAGAGUUGGCUGAACUUUCAUCAUAUACAGGUUGGAUGGAUAUAUGGUUCAGUUACAGAAGAUAUAUUGACGGGCUUUAAAAUGCAUUGCCAUGGAUGGCGUUCCAUCUACUGCAUCCCUGCAAGACCCGCUUUGAAAGGAUCUGCUCCCAUUAAUCUUUCCGAUCGUCUCCACCAGGUCCUUCGUUGGGCUCUUGGUUCCAUUGAGAUCUUCUUAAGCAGGCAUUGUCCCCUUUGGUAUGGUUAUGGAGGCAGUUUGAAAUGGUUAGAGCGAUUAUCUUACAUAAAUGCCACAGUAUACCCCUGGACAUCAAUCCCUCUGUUGGCAUACUGUACUUUGCCUGCUGUGUGCUGCUUGCUUACUGGGAAAUUCAUCACGCCAGAGGUAGGCUAUUAGAUUUUUCUUUUUCUUUCUUUUUCUUUUUUUCAACUAUUGCUUUUAUAUCGUACAAUUGAUGAUAUUCCAGGCAAAAGAUCUUAUAUUGUCUUUGUUUCUUGUCCCCGUUGCAGCUGAGCAAUGUGGCUAGUCUGUGGUUUCUGUCACUUUUCAUUUGCAUUUUCGCGACAAGUAUCCUGGAAAUGCGAUGGAGUGGGGUUGGAACAGAAGAAUGGUGGAGGAACGAACAGUUCUGGGUCAUCGGAGGAGUUUCAGCACAUCUCUUUGCAGUUUUUCAGGGGCUUUUGAAGGUUCUGGCUGGUGUUGACACGAACUUCACUGUGACAUCAAAGGGUGGGGAUGACGAGGAGUUCUCUCAACUCUAUGCGUUCAAAUGGACCACCUUGCUCAUUCCGCCAACCACAUUGCUUAUAAUAAACCUGAUUGGUGUUGUAGCUGGCGUAUCAAACGCAAUAAACAACGGUUACGAGUCCUGGGGUCCUCUCUUCGGAAAGCUAUUCUUUGCCUUCUGGGUGAUUGUCCACUUGUAUCCUUUCCUAAAGGGUCUGCUCGGACGGCAGAACAGGACUCCUACAAUCAUCAUUGUGUGGUCAAUCUUGCUCGCUUCCAUCUUCUCCCUUCUGUGGGUACGUGUCGAUCCAUUCUUGGCCAAGUCGGACGGACCACUUUUGGAAGAAUGCGGGUUGGACUGUAAUUAGCAAGAGUGUCUGAUUCCUGGAACAUUUGGUCAGUAGGAUUUGUUUAUGGGUUAUUUAUCGUAAGGAUACAGAAAGAAUACAUUUGGUGUGGUGCCGUCUGCAAUGCAAAUAAAGGGCAUGUUUGGACGUCACUGUUUCCGCAACUCCGCCUCUCCAUUUGACCGCAACACUCUGAAGGGCUACAAAAACCGACUUUGCUGCUCUUUUGCAACAGCUGGGAGAUUGUCGGAAAGGACUGUGACACUGCUUCUUGAUUCUUUAUUUGGUUCAUAAUUUUUUUCUUUUCUAGGAUGAGGAGGUGGCGUGAACCACAGUAUAAUGUGUAUUAUCAUCUCAUAAUCUCUCUCUCUCCCUCCCUCUCUCUCCCCCUGUGUAAGUGUAACUCAGCCGAAAUUGUGAGCAUGUAUUAUAUACGGGGCAUCGUCCCUCAGUUGAUGCUGCUUAAUGUGGCCAUGCAUGGCGUUUUGCUGUUGGAAGAUCAAAGGGAAAAGUUCAAUUUUCUUUGGCCACAGAAACGGUUUUGAUUGCUUAGAUAUUCAAGAGACCUGACUGUACUUAUUACUACGAGUGCAUUGCAAACCAUGCCAUUUUUUAGAUUCUCCUCAAGAACAAUAGAGCUGCAAAAGUCGGUUGAAAGAUCAAAGGGAAAAUUUUCAAUUUUCUUUGGCCACAGAAACGUUUUUGAUUGCUUACAUAUGUAAGAGACAAGACUGUACAUCUUAUUACUACGAGUGCAUUGCGAACCAUGCCAUUUUUUAGAUUCUCCUCAAGAACAGAAGAGCUGUAAAAGUUCGUUGAAAGAUCAGAGGGAAGAAGUUCAAUUUUCUUUGCCACAGUAGGUGUUGCGACGGUUUUGAUUGGUUGUUACAUAUUUAAGUGACCUGACUUAACAUCUUAUUGCUCCAAGUGCAUUGCAAACCAUUGCCAUUUUUCAGAUUCUCCUCAGGAACAAAAGAGUCUCUGUAACAGUUGGAUGCAGGAAGUUUUAAUGCAAAUCAUCUGUAGACAGAAAGUUUUACACGAUUUGAGCGUCAAUGCAGCAUCAACUUGGAGAUUCAUCUUGGCAUCUGGUGAGACGGGCCAGAACGAUGAUGAGACGCAGGUGACCAAAAUGUUCCAACUCUUCAGCAACAGUAAGAAAAGCAGGAGAGGAGCCCAAAAAAAAAAGUCACAAAAGAGAAUCUAAAGAAAAUUCUGGCUAUUUUCCACACCAUCCCCAACCCCUUUUUUGUAUUGGGCUGGACAUUAUUCUGUAUGAGAAGAGACGUGUAUUAAUCUUUCACUCAACAGAUUUACAAAAAAAUUACUCCUCCCAUUGCCUUGGAGAAGCUGAAUUCUCACAUCCAGUACCAUAAAAUGAAAUCGCCGAGAUCUUCAAAACCCAUACCAAACUUGCUACUGGCCAAAGACCAAAGAAUGCCACAACUGUCAUUUCUAGGCACUGAGGUUUGAAAGCGUCUAGCCAAAGGUGAGAUGAAACUUCCAGGCUAAUCCCCUUGAAUACAUGUGACCAGAGUUUCAGAAGCCUGUCCUGCCAAAAAAGGUCAGUCAUCUCAAAAUCCACUUUGUCAUCAUGAUGCUGGGUUGAGAUGAACAGAUGCAGCUAAUUCUGCUAAUUGUUUCCCGCUGAGAUCAUAAACAAGUUCCAUAGGGAUUAAAUGUUUUGGUUGAUUGCCAAAAUCUUCCUCCUUCAAAUCAUAUACCGCUUGGAGCUUUUGGGCUUCAUAUUCUGCAGCUUUGGCCUCAGCAAGUAAAAUGUCUGCUUCUUCAUGGUCACCCAAUUCCACAGCAGCAGCUCUUUCAGCAUUGGCAGCACUGGCAGUUAUGAGUAACCUCUGGAGUCUAGCCACUGCCAAAUCCCUCUCCCUUAAUAAGAUCUGCUCCUCAGCCUCCUGCAAUUAAUCAACAGUUUCUUUAAUUUCUUCUUCAAGCUUUCCAAGCUUUCAAGCUUGAUUUGUGUUCCUUCCUUCUCAUUGCUCAACGACUUUGCUUCAGCAGCUAUUCGUGUAGCUUCUUUGAAAUUUCUUGCAGCAGCAGCAACCUUUUUCUCAGUCUCUAGUUCUGGAAGUCUCUUGUCCACAUAAAGUAUCCUCUGCUCAAAUGAAGCUAUCUCCUGUUGGAGGCUGGACUUAUUUGAAGACAGUUCCUAUGAUCAAAAGACAAGAAUCUAAUCAAAUGAUGCGUUGAAGAGCCAAAUAAAUUUUGAGUAUUCAGUUUUUGAAUUUUCGUCCUGAAGCUAUAGCUAAAGAACAUGCUUAACACAAUACCCUGACCACUAGACUGGACAAAAAAUUCAGAUAAAGGUCUCCUGACACAACAUUGGAGUUCACUGCAAGAUUUGAAAUCUGAUCAAAUUCUGCUUUUGCUUAUACUCUCCUGUUGCUCCCUCUUUUGCUUAUUGUUUCCUAUUUCUCCUGUUACAGUACUCCAGCUCUACAAUAGUUUGAUUUCAUGAUUACAUCCACUGUCUCACUCGCAAGCUAUAGCUUUUCUGUGAGGGGAAACAGUAGAUCUCAACAUACAUUGUCUUCAUAUCCCUAGUUGCCUAAACUUUUAAGAUUAAGGCUUCCCUAACAAAUACGUCGCAUCUCUUAUUUUCACCAAAAAAAAAAAACAAAUACGUCGCAUAAACAAACUUUUGAAAGAAAGUAGGAGUCACUCACUGCCUGUGUCUUUAGAAUAUUCCUUCAGCAAGUAUAUCUUAACCAUGAACCAACACUCAUCCUAGGUUGGAUAAUCAAACAUGAACCUCAAGCAUUACUGAUUCAGAAGACUGGAAGUAAAUUCUCCAAAAUGUUGCAACAUGUAGACUCCAUAGGCCAGAAUUAUAGUAGAUUAAGCAUGUGAAGCUUAACCACCUUUUAGGUAUAUGUCGUUUGCAUGUAAAGAGUAAGAUAGCUAAAAAGUAAAAUAACCUGUAAAGAAGCUCUUGCAGAGGAAGCUUCUUGUUGGAGCCUCAUGACAUCUUCAGAAAAUUUCUCCUCAGUCUUCAUCAGCCCCAGUUUACUUUCUCUGUACUCCAAAAUGCAGAGCAUUAAACCUUUUCUCAAUCCUGCUGCUUCAUUGUAUGCUUUUGCUUCAUCUGCAGCAAUCUUCCCAAGUUCCCUAAUCUUUGCUCCUUUAUUAUCUUCCUGAGAGAGUACGUCAUCAAUAUCUUUCUUUUUUAUAGAUAAAGCUUCACUUUCGGCAUCAACCUGAGAGAGCUUUGAUUUCAUUCUAUCAUAUUUAGCACCAAUAUCUGAUUGCAUGUCCUGAAAUCCAGAGACCACACCAGCAAUGUGCUUCUCUACUGCUUCAAUGGAAGCAUCAUUCUCAGCAAUUUGCUUCUCCUUCUCUCUCACUAAAUUAAGCAGCUUCUCCAAUUCAUCCAACAACACAUCCUUCUUCUUAAGAAGUUUUUCUUUCUCUCUACUGUCAUCAUCAAUUGAAUGCUCGAUGGAAACAUUCACUCCUUUACGAGCUUCACUUAUCAGAUAUGACUCGAUUUCAAGUUCCAUCUUCCUCACCUCCAAAUCUUCACUUGAUGAAAGCCAUUUGUCCAUUUCCUCAGCACGCAGUAAGUUUGCCUUCUUCUCUAUCAGGUCAGCACUAGCAGUUGCAUCCUGCAGGAUAAGAGGUAAAAAUGUCAGUCAUUCUGCUUCAAACUAAAUUUGGCUACCACAUGAAAUCGAUAGCUUACGAGAAAGCUUUUCGUGGUACGCAUGAUCCAACCUCAUGUUUUGUAGGGACAGAUGAAACAGUUAAUGAAAAAGUUCAGAGAGAGAUAGCACGGCUAUCCUUAAAACAGUCACUAUCCAAAAGUCUACUUGGAUUGGCAAAACAGAGACUACCAUGGGAUCAAUAUGACUUGCUGAAAGCUUUUAGUUUACCUUACAUCAAGUCAAUUAAAACCAUGGCUAUCUCAAAAUAAAAAACUAGGGCUACAAUUGUGCGCAAGGGCACACCAAUGACACCACACAUGCAGUGCACCCACUACCAUGCCUAUAAUCUACCAUAACCUAACAAUGGUCAAGAGACAUUCUUGUUUUCCAUUCAUUUUCCUUGAAGCACUUUGACAAAACUAGUCUUUCCAUGUUCACCUUGAGAACCCGACUGCCAAUUGAAAGAUGAAAAUUGACAAACGACUUCCUUCACUCAACAGGGGCAGCUAAGCACAAGCAUGAAUAUAAAGAACAUCCAGUCAGGAAGGCUUGUACCAUUACACACGCAAGUUUAUAAAGACAGAGAGAAAACCAGAAACGUGUAUCAAUCUGCUCCAGCCAAUGAUUGUGUUGCCCUGUGGUGCGAAGUUCUUACUAUAGAGCUCACUCUAUCUUAAUUCAUUCUAGGAUCAAGCAUUAGUGUAGCCAAAAAAAAGAAAAGAUGUUGUCACUGACCUUAGAGAAAUUCUCCAACAGAGAAACACACUCAUCCUCAGCAGCAAUCUGUGCAUUCAAAACCUCCUGCAUCUUCGCAUCAAUAGCAUCGCAUUCAGCUUCACUAGCUCUAAGUGCAUCCACCAAAGCUUGUCUCUCCUUUUCGGCAGCAGCAAAAGGAAAUAACUGAAUAAGUAAUGUUGGGUCGGCAUCACCAUUUUCUGCGAUGCAUGGACUUGGCGAAGGGGCAUCGGCGUCGGCGUCGGCGUCAGGCACAUAGGCGGAGGCCGAGGCGUCGGCGUCGGGGGCGACGGACUCCGACGCCGACGGAGGCAACCGGCGAAGGGGCGUCGGCGUCAGAGUCGGGUUCAGGGGAGGAGGCGGCGUCGGCGUCGGCGUCGGAGUCGGAGUCGGAGUCGAGGGCGACGGAGUCAACCGGCAGAGGUGGAGGGCCGUCGGCGUCGCGUUUCGCUGGAAGAGAGUCACGACUUCGCAGAGGGGGGGGAGAGAGAGAGCAGAGCGGACGUCGCGAGAGGGAGGCGGAGGAGCGUCGAACACGACGAGGCAGCUCAGCACCAGCUUCUCCAGCAACCUCGCCUCCGAGCCUUCCGUGUGUGCGGGUCUCGCUUGGCGGGCGACGUCGCCGACGUUGAGGGGAGCUCGAAGAGGCCUGCUUCUCCUCCGCGUGCUGCAUCUGCGAUCCCGGGAACGCCGGAACGAAUGACGGAGCAGCAACGAACCCGAAGAGAGAAGCGAGUGAGCACCGGAGUAGCGGCGGCCGUAAUGUGGUUCGUCGGUGAUGGCAGGAGAACGGCCGCUUGAUGCACGGCGGAGCAACAACGAGCGCGGAGAGAGGAUUUCAGAUUCAAAAAUUCGAAAGGAAAGAAAUGGAGAGGGAAAGAGGAACGAACGGCCAUUUUCUUUCUCAAACGAAGGAAAGAGAAAAGUUUCCGCAAUAAAUGCUCUGACAGGAGAGAGAGCGUGCAGGUCAGGAGGAGAGGACGUCCUUUCUUUUGCCAGCCGAGCCGAGCCACCAGCCGAGACGAGAGUUAGAGGAGAGAGGAAGAAGUGCUGAGUCGAGGAGCAGACGCCUGACUUUAUGGGUCCCACGCUGGCUACAUAAGACGUACCCAAUAUUUUCUCCCCUUCGUGGUCUGAGCAAUGACUUUGACAUAUUGACUCUAUUUUCUCUCUCAAAACCCGAUCCUCUUUGCAGCAGGAAAAAAAAGAUAGCUGGUUUUCAAUUGGAGUAAGCUUUUCUUUUGGGUCGUUUGUUUAUCCUGAAAGUGCAUUAGGAUUAAGAGCAUAACUCUUUGUACUGUCGAUGCAUAGUCCGCACGGGGUUUCAACAAACUGUGUUGCAACAGCUGAUUUAGACCAGUGGCCCCGUGGGGAGUUAGGAGAUUCGGGAACAUUUCAUUGGACACAGUCAUGUUUUGUAGGUUUCUAUAAUUAAGAGUUCUCUGGUUAGGGUCUUUAAUCCUCAUUUUUAUGCGGUCUUUGAAUCUUUCGGCAUGUCUAUCUCAACACCCAUCUUCCCAGUUCCUUUCUUUCUCGUCUUUUUGGCCAUUUUCUCAGUUCAUUAGAUGCAUGUGAUUUGGCAAAAGCUCAACUUGGAUGGUCGGGGUCUCCUUUUCUUUUUCAACUGAGUGUGUUCCAAGCAGAUGUGCCAUCCCUUUGAGGUGAUUCGUUCAAGACGACCACAAGUGAUGAGUGUUCUUAAGUUUCUCGUCUCAUGCUUUCAUUACAAUGAGUUCUCCCCGGGAAGCGGGAGAAUUGUCCAAAAAGUCUUAAACCUAUUGCAGUUUUGUCAAUUCAGUCUUAAACCUUUCAAUCUUACCGAUUGAGUCCUAAACUUUUUGUCGGUUUGCCAAUUGAGUCAAUCCGGCCAAUUUUGGCCGGAAAAUGUUGAUGUGAACGUCAGUGGUGCCACGUAAGACUGUUGGCGCUAACAUGGAUAUUUUUUAAUAAUAUUUUUAUUUUUAUUUUGAUUUUUUUAAAUAUUUUCUGUUUUUUCCUUUUUUUUCUUUUUGGCUUUUCCUUUGCCCUUUUCCGGUGGCCAACCACCGGCCAUCGACCACAACCAGCCGGCUAGCCUCGCCCGCCACAGGCGAGGCCCGACCGAGCGACGGCAACGCCAGGCGAGGCUAGUCUUGGCCCCGGCGAGGGCCGACCUCGCCAGAUCUGGUCUGGGUAAGGCCGAUGCUCGCCUGGGCCAGGGAAAGCCUCGGCAAGGGCUCCCCUCGCUCGACGUUGCCGUCACCCGGUCGAGCCUUGCUUGUGGCGAGCGAGGGGAGCCCUCGCUGAGGCUCACCCUCGCCCAGGCAAGUGUCAACCUGUGGCCGGUGGCCAGCCAUCACUUGCUCGACUAGGGGUGAGGCGACGCUCGCCUGGGCGAGGGCUAGCCCCGGCGAGGGCGAGCCCCGGUGAGGGCUCCCCUCGCUAGGGCUGGCCUUGCCCGGCGUCGCCGUUGCUGUCGCCCAGCCGGGCCUUGCCUGUGGCGGGCGAGGCCAGCCCUGUGGCCAGUGGCCGGCCAUCGCCUAUGGCUAGUGGCCGGCCACCGGAAAAGGGCAAGGGAAAAGCCAAAAAGAAAAAAAAAAAAAACAAGGAAAAAAAGAAAAUAUAAAAAAAUCAAUUUUUAAAAAAAAUAUUAAAAUGUUAUUAAAAAAAUGUCCACAUCAGCGCUGGUAGUCUUAUGUGGCACCGCCGAAGCCACGUCAACAUUUUCCGGUCAAAAUUGGCCGGAUUGACUCAAUUGGCAAACCGACAAAAGUUUAGGACUCAAUCGGUAAGAUUGAAAGGUUUAGGAUUGAAUUUGCAAAACUGUAAUAGGUUUAGGACUUUUUAGACAAUUUUCUCCCGGGAAGGAGCAAGGGCAUUGGGCCAUCUUCCUCUUUUCAAACGAAGGUGAACCUACAGAGAGCUUUUGCAAGCCCGGUGGAAGUUAUAUUUUCUUAAGUGAUGAUCAACGGAUGAAUUCGACAUGCGAACAAUGAUUGACCAAGUAAGGUCGAGUUCGGGUCGGUUUUUAGGAUGGUUGUCCAGUACUGAACCUGGUUACUUCCUUGCACGUAUAUCCCUGACCAAGUUGCGAAUCUCCUUACUGAUGCAACCCCAUUUCUAACUCCAUACCUACUUACCAAAGGUUCGACUUUCGACCUUCACAAUGGUUUAUGUUUUCCUCCUCCAUCAUUCGAUAGUUUGAAUAAAGGAGGCCCAACCACAUGAACCUUUCAAGUACAAAACGUGUUAUCGAGUCUAGUGACUACAGAUUUGCACUGGCCGCGAUUCCUUCAGCAUAUAGCCUAUAUGAUGGACUACGAAAGUAGAGCAUGAGCAAAUUGGGUUGGGGGGGUUACAUUCGCAUAUGCAUAUAAAGGGGCAACCCUCUCCACAUGAAAGAGAAAGAACUGCAGAGAACAUCUCCCUCCGAUUGAAAUGCCCAUAUUUAUACGUUUACAAACGCAAAUACAAGUCUUUCCACAGCAACACUAGUACACAGAGGAACCGAUUGACAUAAAAACUACUUAUAGUAUUUUCCCCGUUACAAACACGUGUAAUUCAUGUAUAACACUGUCCGUAAGUAACAGCGAAAAAUGAGUAAACACAAGUGAGACAUACCAACCUAGCAGUAGCACAUGAUACCACUGCGCUGCCACAUUUAUCCUUUGCAAUAGCAAUAAGCAGCGAACAACAGAUCGGCACAGCAUCACCUUUGCAACUGGAAGCAUCUCGUCCGUCAUUCAUAGCCAAACAACAAAAGCUUUUCACAAUGGAAGUGCCGAUCAGGAGAGUCUGAGUCUUCCAAAAUUAACCCUCGUGUCAGCUCCAAAAUCAAUGCUAUUCAUUUCUUCUUCUUCAUUUUCCUACCUGUUCCAAUACUUAUCCCAAAUGUCCGAGGCUUUUUUGUUAAUCUCUAUGUUCCCGUGAAUCUGGAGACCCAUGAUUUUCUCCAACCCCUCACAUUCUUCAAUCAUGUCCAUGACCAGUUCUCUGAUAGUUUCACCGCUCUCUAGAAUGCGUUCCACACCAUCUAGGCACACUCCUAUGAUCUCAGGGUCGGGGCAAAUAAGGAGAUCGCAGAGCGGCUUGAUAAAACCCUGGUUCACCAAGUAUCUGCAAAAACGACAAAGGUCAGAGUUCUGUGGAUCAUGUUGAAGUGUUCAAUGAAAAGCUCACACUUCCAUCUAUUGAUAUAAAUCUCUAAGCUGAUCAGUUGCAGUUGGAUAAUUCAAUUUGAUAUCAUCUAAACACCCCCCCCCCCUCCCCAACACCCCAAACUACUGUCACUGUCACUGUCACUUCAUAUUUCGACACUUCUAGAUUUGAUUUAGUACCAGCAUGUGCGUGAGAGAGGGCUUUGAAGUUUUUGGACAUUGAACACCCCCACAAUCCGCUUGCUUAAUGGAUGGAUCCAUUAUCAUCUCCAACAACACAUUACUACAUAAUACAUUUAACAACUGAAAUAAAUACUGCACUUUAUCAGUAAACAAUUUUUCAUCGAAAUGAACUGCCGAUGAUUUUUUGUCCGGUGAGACUUUCCUUUUCUUCAUUACUCUGCAAGUGCAGUCAACAUGAAAUGGAAUUGCAUUCCCUGCUUCUUCAAAUCCUUGCAGGUAAGAGGAUGAAACAAACCUAGACAAACCAUAUGACAAGAGGAACACGAAAAGAAUGACGAUCUCCAGUAAUUGACCAUUAAGUUUAGACAUGGACAUGAGCUACGGAUGUUUAAUUCUCUUGAGCUAUAAAAAAUGAAUCCAGAGGGAACAGUAUGGGUAUGAUUUCCAUCUUUUGGGUGAUAACCAGCGCAAGGUUCCACAUGUUGUGUUGGAGCAGAGUAAUGUAGAUAGAGACAUAUCGAAUUUGUUCAUGGGACCCACCACAGAUGGCAUUUGAAAUAGCCCAUGCAGCCUCUUUCUUUAUUUUGAAUUGGGCACGUUGAAGAAGGCUCACAACAGGAGGAAUGAAGUUUGCUUCAAUUACAGCCUGAAAAGGACAAUAAAACUGUUUUUACAAGAUUGUCAAAGCAUGUAACCUAUGGAAACAUCUCUUAAGAGAUCAAUUUCAUAAUUGAAAUGCUAUAUCAGAUAAGCAAAAGCUCCUCCCUAAUAAUUCAAAAAAAAAAAACAAAAGGAGUGAACGUAAUUCUGGUAUUCAAUCUUGAAGUGAAUUUUGGAAAUACAUCAGAAGUUCAUUAUCACGAAAAACAAAAGUGAACAAUUGCUGCGUUGAAGGUGAGACUACUCUGUUUAGGGAGAAGAGACAAGGUGCCAUCAAUUAUAGAAACAUUCACCCAGGAAUUCAGGAUAAUGGCAGGGCAGCAAUUUAGUACAGCACAAAUGAGCAAAAGCAACUACGAUAAGGUCUUAACAAACACUUCUUUCAUACUCAAUGCUCAAUACAAUAUAUUGUACUAUCAUUGAACAGAGGUAUUACCUGAAUUUGAUUUCUAUUACCCGCCGCAAUAUUUGCAAUUACCCAACAAGCUUCUUCCUUGACACUCCUAUCCCAAUUUUCAGUCAGAAUUUGACAUAAAGGAAGCAGUCCUUGAUUGUCAAUUCCAAACUGCAACCGAAAACCAAGUGUUGACACCUAAAUUUUGAUGACCCAUUUAAUUAUUUAUCAUAUUAAAAAAUUAGGGAUUAAUUUUAACCCCUAAAAAAAUAUUAGUUAAUUAAUUAAUUGCAUAGCAUAUAGUUUUAGGUGCAUUUAUUUUAAUUUGCAUUUACAUUGGGCCGGUGACAAAUGGGUUCAAAUUAAUGGUUCAGAAUAUUAAUUUGGUGAAUUGGACUAAGCCCACAAAGGGAGUAAAUUGGCCUAAGCCCGUAUCCUCGGAAAGAUUUUACGGAUUGAGAUUUUACGGAUUGAUUUAUGCGAGAUUUCAAAUUUUAAAAGAAUCCUCUUGCAAUCCCAAAUCGUAUCAAAAGCAAAUAUUACAUUUGGAAAAAGGAAUUUUCGUGGAUAUGGAUUUGGAAAAAUUAAAACCCUAACUCGUGGUCUAUAAAUAGAUUAAAUGCGUAGGGUUUAGAGGAGGAGGCCACACAUUGAAUAUACGGCCACAAUAUAGAAAGCAUACGUGAAGGAGAGGGAACGUGAGGGGAAAGAGGCUGGCUUUCUCUUUGCAAUGGCUCGUUGAAGCUUCCUCGUAGCAUCUCGGCGCAAUCUUUAGCAAAUCUCUACCACAUUAAACAAGCCUUCGAGCCAGCAUUGGAGUUCCAGCAGUCGUAUGAGUUUCCCAAAGAUAGUCCAGCAACCUCCAGGUGAACAUCCAGCGAGCCAGCUCCAAGGUGUCCUUGGCAGGUUUUCAGCAAGAUUCCCGCCACGACUAGCCUUAGUCGUGCCUCAUCAAGCAGCUGCAGGGUUUCUCGAGGGACGUCAAUAAUCUCAGUCGAGAAUUCCAUCCUCUGGUCACGUGUUCAAGUUCCAAUCGACGCCGAUCCCGGAGCCUUACCAAGCGAAGUUUCUUAGACGAUUACCUGGUCUUCUCGGAAUACCUAAUAGAGACGUCCACGAGAUAAACCCGGAGAGAGGCUCGUGCUUUCACUUCUCUACUGCACCCAUUCACAAAGUCCACGCAUGAAGAGAUAGGAGAAAAAUCGGGGCAUAGAUAUUCUCAGUAAAAAAGGGGUGGUCAACUUUGAGAGGGAUUUGAUUGUGUUUCAUAAAAAUUGAGGACUAAGCUGGAGUAGUCCCUGCACGAACAUCUUCUUUGGCCCACCGCUUCGGGAGGUUUCUAAAGCGGUCCCAAGUUGAUCACCAAGAUGUGAGCAGCCGCGUCUCUACCCCAUCAACGACCAGCCGCAGAGCCAUUGAACAUCGCAAAUCACCUGUGAACCACCACAGCCACUGACCUUGAGUCGUGCCGCCCCGAACCUCCGUUGCAGCCCAAUCCAUCACCGAGGACGUUCCUUUCACGGCCACCCAAGAUUCCUAAGUCGUUGUUCUGGCCAUCAUUGGUGAAUCACUCCAAUAGACUUAAAUCUCAACGGCGAAGCUGAGAGUGCUAGUAUGAACAAAAUAAAUGAGUUAGGGAAGAGAAUAAGAACACAAGAUUUAUAGUGGUUCGGCUUAUUCCAAGCCUACGUCCACUCUCCCACGCUAACAGCCUUCUUGGCUGGAUUCCAAUAUGCAAUCAACAAGAGAUUACAACUUCGAGUGCAAACACUUAGUAGUAGAUCCCACUAUCUCACUAAGUCACUCUUUUGGUAUUUCUCUCACGAUUACAAACGUUUAAGCUCUCAAGAGACAAGUAUAUGAUCAAAAGUCGCUCAGACUUUGGAAUUAUAAAUUCUACGCUCCGUCUCUUACUUGCUCAUCGGUCCAUGAUCUCCUUAAAUACUCCUCCACUUCCAAACUACCCGUUGGACAGUAUCCCGGAGAAUUGUCUUCCAAUAUACCCAUUGGACAGCUCUGUAUCUAGAAGAUUUGGUAGCCGUUGAGUGACAAAGGUAAAAUCCCAAAUUGAUUCCGAUCGCCCAUACAAACGAAAUCUUGGUUUCUAUAAGUAAAGCUUCUUCGUAUAGAAAGUUCUUGUCUUCAAGAUCCAAUUGUCAAUCAAUUAGAUUGAAUCAAUCAAAUCAAUCUUGAUGUGGAAUCCAAACCAGAUCACUAGCCGUUGUAUGAUUGGGCUUGAGUUACAAUUCAUUGAAUCUGGAUGUAAAGUCUGAGUCUGUAGACUUUACAAUAUGAGUCUCUAGACUUUACAAUCUGGGUCUGAACAUAUCUGCUUCUGAACAGAUUUAGCUUUAAGGUCUGUACCCAGUUCAACUUCAGUAUAGAGUCUGUCUUCUGGUUCAGCAUUCACGUUCAGUCUGGAAUUUGUCAGAGUGAGCAGACUUCUGAUGUAGAACAGACUUUGACACUAAAGUCUGGCAGUCUUCAGACUUUGAGUCUUGAGUCUGGCAGUCUUCAGACUUUGACACAGAAGUCUGGAAAUCUUCAGAAUAUAUUUUGGACAUGUGUUACGUUCAGUCUUCUGGUCGUCUUCUGACUUUGAUAAUAUCCUCUACAUGUUCUAACAUCUGCAUGGUCUAUUACUCAACCAUCAAACAUGUUAGUAGCCUUUGAUUUAUUUUGUCAUCUUCAAAACAUCAUAAGGGAUUUCCUUAACAGAAGCAGCCACGCCUUGCACAAGUCUUUCCUUGGAGGUUGAAAAUUUAAGUGUGGAUUUUAGAAGGUCAAAGUUUGACAAUCAAUGGGAUUGUCAGAAGGCUAGUGGAUUUCCCUGCGUCACCAAAUUCCACAAAACCAGCAUUGGGAGACCAAGAUUCGCCGUCCAUCGAGGAGUCCCUUGCCGAGCUUACAAAUUUUUGUUUCGCAGGUCUUGUGGAGCUCAUCGGGUGAUUUUCGAGCAACCGAGCACCACCACGUUGCAUCGCGAGUAGCCAUUCGAGGAUCGGAAUUUGGAAACCAAUAUUCGAGUUAGGUGAAAAUCUUAUCUAUUUUGAUUUUUCGAAAAUUCCAUUACCUUAUUUGGGAUAUUUGUCGAUGCAUAUAAUUGAAAUUCCCGAUAUGACAUGAUAUUCGCAACUCGAGUAGCUUCCUGAAUUAGGAAAUUUUCCUAAUUUCGCAACGUGCGUAUGAUUGACAGUCCGAUUUCAUGCUCGAAAUAUGACCAGUAAUCGCACGGAAAAAUCACCAAUCCAAUCUCACGCUCGAGAUACGAUUAGUGAUUUUGUCUAAAAUUGGCCAAUCCGAUCUCUUGUGCGAGAUAUGAUUCGUCAAUUUAUUUCCAAAAUUAAAUGGACAUGGAUGAUAUUUUGCUGGAUUUGUUGCCGUGUUGUUCUUGAUGCCUUUAUUUGUUUGCUCCCAUAAAAGAAAAAAAAACAUUUGAGUUAGAUUAGAUGCAUCUUAGGAUAUUACUUGUUUUAGGGUUAUUUUGCAUGUCUAGAAUAAGAGAUUUACUUAUUUCGAAUUUCAAAAAUAAAAAAAUCAAAAAUCAAAAAUCAAAUCAAUCAAUUUAGGUUGCUAGUUUUUUUACUUAGGUUGCAUGUUUAAUAAUUUGACAAUUCUUAAUUUCGAAAUUAAUAAAACAAAAACAAAAAGGGUUAUCAUGCAUAUGUCAUGUAGAAUAAAUGCAUUCUUUGCACGUCAUUGCAUAUUAGGAUAAAAUUUCAUGUUUCAUUUUAAGUUUAGAUAUUAGAUAGAUUGCAUUUUAGGACUAUUUGGGUUAAGAUAAUAUUUUAGUUUAAAUUAGGAUUUGGCUUAACCUAAUUCCUAAUGCAAAUUAAAUAGAAUCUUAAUCUAGUUAGACAAUUUUCACAUUUUUCCUAAUUCCGAAUUUCAUGAAAAAUAAAAAAAUGUCUUAGAAUAAAUUAGUUCCAUUCUUUAGAAUAAAUUGCAUGCUUAUUAGGAAAAUAAAAACCAUGUGCACAUCAUAUAGAAUUAGGUUCAUACAAUGCACGUCAUUUAGUGAUUUUUGUUAGGUUCAUUUAAUUAGAAAUUACAUGUCAUUGGAAUUAGGUCAUUUAGUUAAUAUUGCAUUGCAUAUUUAAAUGUUGCAUUUCUUUAAUUUCGAAUCCCAUAGAAAAUACAAAAAAAUGAUUUAGAAUAAAUCAUCUCAUGCUUAGAAUAGACUACAUGCUUAUUUAUGUCAUAUCGCUUAGGUCAUAUAGCUAAGUCAUGUUGCUAUGUCAUAUCAUUUCAUGUUAAAUUAGUGGCAUGCAUUGCAUAAAGCAUGAUUCUCAUUAAUUAAGUGAAAACAAAACAAAAAUUGCGUGUUAAUUAGAAACCAUAUCUAAGGUUGUUGAUGUGGAUUUUAAUUUAACAUUGCAGAUGCUUUCGUUGCUUUGAGGUAAGUCCUGCAAUUUAUUUUUUGCUUUACUUGAGUGUUAAAUUGGUGGUUUGCGCACCUGCAUGAACACCUCACAUGUUAGGGAAUUAGUUUAAAAUCAAUCCAAACUCCUUGCCAAACAUUUUUCAAAAUUAAAAGAAUGGUACCGAAAGGGCAUUAAAGAAAUCUAGUGUAACCAAGUCCCCGUACCCAUAAUCUCUGGUUCGUAGAAGUAAAAUAAUUCUAGUGUCUAAUCGACCUACCAUAAAUUGAUUAGUGGCGACUCCUAAUUGAAAAUCAAUUGCAUAUUAAAAACUUGAAUCUAAGUCGCGAAUUGGUAUGGGCUUGGGAAAGCCCGCGUUAAGUCUAGGCUUAACAAUCCAUUAGCCAAACCCUAGGUGGUUCACACCUCGAAAAAAAUUGGUCGCGACACCAAGUCUUCAGGUAAGGAUGAAAGAAGCUCGGUUUAAUCUUGGAAAGUAUCUACGAAUCCCAAGACAAAAUAAACAAGUCAAAAACAUCAGUUACAUGAACGCAGUUACUUCAAGUACAGAGAUAAUGGGAGAUGCACAUUUUGCUGCUCGGAAUCUAAAAGACCUAAUGACUUCAAAAGACUGAACUACGUUUAUUAGUUUCAGUCUUAUAAAGGGGACGGAAAGACCUGAGUCUGAGCCUCGUUGCCCGACACAAUGUUCCCCAGUCUUUAAGAGUCGGCACCUGGACUUCAGGUGAUGCACACCUGCAAAAGGAACCACAUAGGAAAAGAAACUGAAUCGGUGCCAAAAAAUAAAAUGAUCCGCUUAAAACAAAGUUUGACAGCACAAUCAGUGAAAUAUCCACCCUAGUGUCGCUUUGUCUAUACCAAGAUCCAAUCAGUAUUCAUGAAGCUUAAGUAAAACCAAUUAACAAAAUCUUUUCAGCCAGUGAAGUAUGCUUAACUAAGAGCACAAAUGGUUCGAUUGUUUUUUUUGGUAAAAGGUAAGAAGUAUUAUAGCUAGAGAACCAAGGAGCUAUACAAAAAGCACAGCAACACAGUCAAAUGGUUCGAUUGUUUUACUAUGCUCCUUUCACAAAUCGGUCUUCUGUAUUUGCAUGCCCAGACUAGAAAUAUAUGCAGCAAACCCGAUAUUCUUUCACCAUGCUAGACAACGCAUAUAUUUCAUCUUACACGAGAAGUUCUAGAAGCCGUGGCCAAACUCCUGCUUCAAUCACAGACUGGAUAUUAUGAUCUGAGCCAUCACAAAUAUAAGACAGAGUCCAGCACGUGUCAAUCAAUACUUCUCCAUCUUCUGAAUUAAUGAGGCACCUGAGGGUAGGCAAGGCCAGAUUGACCUAAAGGCAGCAAAGACAAAUCAUAAUCCUCCAAAAAUACUAAUAUACUAUUUUAGAAUUCUGAAAGACAGGAUCGGAAAUUUUAAUCGUUAAAUUAUAUGACUCAAGUUCACAUUCAAUUCAAAAGUAUAAGAUGAUUCAACUCUAAGGUGUUGGAGCAGAAUCCUUUCAUCUCAGUCAUGAUUCUUUCACAACUUGGUUCAGUUUACAAUUGAAGCACAGGGACUCAAUCAUAUGGUGCAAUCCCCUGAAGAGCCUCACCAACCUUUGUGGUUUGGCUCAUUCUAACAACUUAAAAAUGUGCUGACUAAAAUUUAAAUCGCAUGUGAUUCUAACUUGAAAUUCAACAAUUAAAUCAGCUAAGCCACUCGAUUGGGACUUAAAACCUCAUAAUAGACAUACUAAUACAUUAGGUAUAAAAGUUAGAUUUUGAUAAUUUACCUUGUGAUCCAUGAACCGAGAAGCAACAUUUCUUUUCCUUCCCUCAAUCCUCAUAAAGUCUAUUAGAACAAUAUAACUUCUCCAAUCUUUUUUUGAACAAUCGAAAGUCAUAACAGGAUCAACAUCAUUACAUUUCUCAGCCAAGGGAGACACCACUCGGAUCUACUUUGUGUUUGUGCGUGUGCAUGCAUGUGUGUGUGAGAGAGAACUUAUGGGUAACGAAAGAACUGCAUUUUGACAACUUCCCGUUUUACCUUUAAAUGACAAUUGAUUCUCAUCAAGUUUCAUUAAACUUGUUACAUUUAAUUUAUUUUCACGAAUCCCAAAAUGUGCAGUUUUGAGGAGCUAAGCUUCCUUAUUCAGCUAGUCUAGAUCUCAUCAGUGAAUCUUAUGGUCCACAACUCAGUUUGAUGAAAAACGUGAUUUGCCACUGAUGUUUCAGAGCUCAUUUUGAUGACUACAGAAAUUACAAACGAUUCCUUUCCUGUUCAAAUGGAGGCAGAGGCUUCCAACUGUAUAAGUUGGAUAAAAUCCAAGCAAUGCUCUUCAUCAGGGGCAAUCCUGGAUGUUUAUCCAAUUGAGCCAAUAGUGGGACUAGAGCGCCUCCACUUAAUACAUGAUCCCUGCAAUUUGGUGAGUCACCAGCAAUAUUUGCCAGUGCCCAGACAGCCUGCUUGAUUCAUGGGAAUCUAGGUUAGAUAAUCUCAUCCAUCAUAUUUACCAAUUUGUUUUAAGAAAUCAACUCAAAGAAUUGUCACGAGAAAAAACAAAAGACCCAACCUGUUCUCGAGCAUCAGCAAACGUAGAGCGAAGAAGUUGCACGAAUUUAUGGAUAGAUCCGAGUUGGAUGAUGAGUCGUACGUGAUCUGAUGUCCCAGAAGCUAUAUUGGCCAACGCCCAUGCAGCCUCAGACUGAAGAUGAAGAAAGAUUAUGACAUGAUGGCAAAUGAUUUCCUUUUGCCUGCAAAAAUCUAAGAUCUCAGUGAAAGAACAUUGAUAAAAACUAAAAGGACCAUACUUGUAGUAGAGGAAAAGCGCUCUCAUCAAGGAACUCCACGAGUCGAGGGACAACUCCUGCUCCGACAACCGCAUUGAUUGGAGGGCUCUCACCUUCGCAUAUAUAUGAUUCGUCAUUGAUCAUGCAAACAUUCCAAUAACAAUCAGGCUAAAGGAAAACAAUUAAAGGAGGAGGGACAGAGGGCUUUGAAAUUACCAGUCGAUAAUAACUCCCCGAUCAGUGUGGUUCCUUUUCAAUGCUGGGAAGAAUCAUCUGAUUGAAUCAUUGGCAGAAGAUCUUCCAAUUGCCAUAAAAACUUAUAAAAACUUAUCAGAAAUGAUUAUUUUUUAUUUUGUUCCGGAGAACUGAUUUUAAGCAUUUUAAGGGUGCGUUUGGGAAAACUUUUGGAGAAAGUCUUUGAGAAAAUAUAAAGGCCUUUGAGCUAAAAGGAUUUUUGGAAAUGCAAAUUGUAUUUGAUAAAUCGUAUUUGUGAAAGUCCAUUGUAAAGUAUAUUUGAGCAAAAUAGCGUUUGGACAAAUUAACUUUGCAAAAGACUUUUAUUAUUAAAAAAAAAGGAAAAAAAUGAGAAUUGGUUGGUUAUCGCCGGUGAGGGGUAGGCGGUCCGGUGAGGGAUAGGCAGGCGGUCUGGCGAGGGGCAGGCAGCCGGCUAGGGUCGCUGCGACUAGAUCGAGUGGCCGAUCUAGGUCACAGCGACCCUCGCCGGAACGUCGCACAACCCGCCGCACCACGACCUCCGUGUGGAGGUGGCUAGGGCCGCUCGAUCUGGUCGUGGCGACCCCGAUCGCAACCAGAUCAUCACAACCAGAUCGCGCAAUCUCAAUCGCACGAUUUGGGCUGCCGGAGGUCGCGCGACCCAGAUCGGUCGUGGCAACCUCCGGUGACCCAGAUCUGUGUGCGAUUUAUGUCGCCGGAGGUCGCGCGGCCCGGAUCUGGGUCGCGGCGACCUUCGGUGACCCAGAUCUGCCGGGGGUUGCAGUGUUGCCGGGGUUGCAGCGAUCUGCAACCCAGAUCUGGAUGGUUGCCGGGAGUUGCAGCGGUCGCAGCGACGCGAAGCGACUCACAGGGGGUCGCCGAGGUCAUGCGACUGGCCGCCGACGAUCGCCGUGACGCACCGGCCUCUUGCUGACCUCUGUCCAAUUCGUCGCUUGCCAUGGGCAGCUCCGCGCAACUUCGUCGACCAUCCUCAACGAAGAAGAAGAUGAAUAGUAACAAGGACAAAACUGGAAAAACGAAAUGUUUUUUUUUUUUUUUUUUUUCGGUAAAGGUAAUGGAUAUAUAGCUAAGGACAAUAAUACAAAAGCGGCACCAAAGACUUACACUCUAACUACAGUAAGUAGAAAGAAUGGAAGGGAGCCGAAGAAAGAGCCAAAGGCAAAGAGAAACAGAUACAAGAAAAACAGAAAGCGACCAACAAGGUCACUAAAACAGAAGUCACGACAGCCAACACGAAACCUUGGCAAUUCAAAAAACGAAGAGACCAAGAACGGAGAGCUGAAGUAACUUGAAGCAGGAACGCGAUCCAAGGAAUCUAUAGAGUCGAAGUACGGCCUGAGAAAAUGGAGGGAUGAAAGCCCCAGUUCCUCUGAAGACACCUGUUUCUCGGGAUAUCCGGAACAUUUGAGAAGGUAAGCGCUUUCUCCUUUACAACUUUGAUCAGGUGAUUUUUCAACGCAGAGACGACCAAGGCUUCCCCACGGAAUAUAAUAUCAUUAUUUUUUUCCAAAUCAAGUAACAUAAGGCAACAAAAGAAAAUCUAGCAAUACAGUAGAAGAACCCUUUACCGGAUAAGAAUUUAAUAGCCCAAGAUAGGUUAUCCACCCAUAGUCUCGCUCGCCAAGGUAAGUUACACCUUGUCGCCCAAAAGAAAGCAAGAGAAGCCGAGACAUGGCAAUAAAAAAAUAGGUGAUUGAUGGAAUCCGGAACUUCAUUGCAUAAUGCACAAGUGCAAAAGUCGAUUCUUCCACAAGAGAGAAGGAGCUCCUAGGUAGGCAAUCCGUUCCUCGUAAUCAGCCACAAAUUAAACUGGAAUCUAGGAGCAAUAUCAGAGUUCUAGAUAAGAGAAGCCCAAGGCACCCGGUUUUUUUCUAUUCUAAUGCAGUCCCAAGCAGAAGCCACCGAGAAGGAUCCGGAGGGAUCCCAACUCCAAAAGAAAUGAUCCAGAGUAGAGGAUGAAACCGGAAUGGAGAAUCCCAAGCUUUGAAGGAAAAGCCUGAAGGAAUUGCCCAUAGGGGAGAGAAGAUCCGCGACUACUGCAUUCUUUGGAAGACCAGAUGUUUCAAUAAGAGGAAGUGGAAUAAGCUGAUCAAGAGGGCCCUCUGAAAGCCAGCGAUCAAACCAUAAGGAAGCCGAAAGGCCAUUUCCAAUUUUCCAAAGAAAUGAUGACCGAAACUCUGCUCUUAGAAGUAAGAUUUUUUUCCAAGCCCGAGAGCAAACAGAAGGUGAGGAAGAGAUCCAAAAGUUGUCCCAUUUUAAGAAAGUGGAGUGAAUCCAACGACACCAUAAGGAUUCUUUGUCUGUGAAAAGAAUCCAAAUGUAUUUAAGCAUCGCUGAUUUGUUACCGUCUUUCAACUUACGAAUACCCAAUCCUCCUUCAUUUUUAAGAAGGCACACUUCAUCCCAUGCAACCUUAGCCUCGCCUCUGCCAAGAGUGGCGCCUUUCCAUAGAAAUUGUCUCAAGAUUUUCUCGAUACUAUUUAGGACCGAAACCGGCAAAGUAAAAACAUUGGACCAAUACGCUUGAAUAGAAUGUAAGACUGACCUUAUAAGUUGCAGCCUACCCGCAAAAGAGAGGAAGCAUUGAGUGCAUGACUGGGCCUUGGCAGUAAUCCGAACAAUCAAGGUCAUGCAAUCUGCUUUCCCAAGUCUGGAGGAGAUGAUCGGUACACCUAAGUAUUUCACUGGGAGCUUUCCUUCUUGAAACCCAAAUGCCAUAAGAAUAUAGUUGCGCAGCGAAGGAGCCCCACUCGAUAAAAAGAUUUCGCUUUUGUUCUUAUUCGGAAGGAGCCCACUCCAAGAAAAAAAUAGAUUGAGGCCCUUUUUCAGAAGAGUAAUGGAAGGCCAGUCAGCCUGACUGAAGAGGAAUACAUCAUCAGCGAAAAAGAGAUGAGAAAGACGGACUGGUUUACAUCUCCAAUAAUACUUAAACUCCCUUCGAGCAGUAUUUGCAUUCAAUAUUCUAGAGAAAACCUCCAUUACAAGGGUGAAGAGGUAGGGGGACAUCGAAUCGCCCUGGCGAAGCCCCCUCCCACCCGUAAAGAAGCCAUGCAGUUCUCCAUUAAUAGAAAUAGAGUAUUUCGGGGUCCGAACACAAACCAUAAUGAGUCGAGUAAGAGGUUCAGGAAAGCCAAAUGCCAACAAAGUAGUUUGAAGAAAGUCCCAAUCAACAGUAUCGAAGGCUUUCUGAAAAUCAACCUUUAUUGCGCAUUUGGGAGUAUAAGGUUCUAGAUGAAAACCAUCAAAAAGCUCUUGCGCCAUCAGUAUUGUCACGCCCCGAACCUCGAGCGCGCCAACAUCCCACCAUGGUCAUGCAAAUGCGACAUUCCCAGGUAGUGUCGCCGACCCCAUACAUUUAUUAAUGCGCAAGCGGAACGUAUUAUAAAACCCCUGACAAUAAAAUACGGGAUAGAAAAGCAAGAAGCAAAACCACAACAUAACACUUCCAUAAUUUAACAGAAUUACAAAGAGAGGUCUACGGCCAAAAGUCUACAAAAGACCGGCUCUUAAAAAUGAAUUGUCCUACGACCUACAAGUCGGACACGUUAUCCAAUCUUAUGACUUCACCUCUGCAACUCCUCAAGGCCAACCAAAGCUAUCUGGUCGCUCCGUCCACCAGGGACCUGAAAUUUUAAUCCCACAACCGGGAUGAGACGAUGUCUCAGCAAGUUCAACCCCCUAAACCCUUAUUAGAAAGAAAAUACGCCCAAGGGUGGCCUAGCCACAUCACACAGAGAACUUACCUCGCCUCAAUUCCUUCCUGCAGGUUAGCACAAUUUGUAUCACACAAUCUCAGGUAGUAAUAAUAAUUCAAACAAUUGGAACGCCAUCACUUUCAUAUAAAUCACGAUCGCACUUAGCACGCAUUCCAAUUAUUAUUCACUGCCACACAAAGGCAUAGCCUACUCGCGGAUCGGUUAUCUACUAACAUUACGGCAUUUCUAGAAGAAUAAAGGUCCAGUCGGUCUCGCCACUACUGCGACCAAGCCACGUCAUUCUCUUGACGGCAUUUCUAGAAGAAUAAAGGUCCAAUCGGCCUAGCCACUACUACGACCUGAGCCACGUCACUCUCCCUUGACGACAUUUCUAGAAGAACAAAGGUCCAGUCGGCCUAGUCACUCUCCCUUGACGGCAUUUCUAGAAGAACAAAGGUCCAGUCGGCCUAGCCACUACUGUGACCCGAGCCACGUCACUCUCCCUUGACGGCAUUUCUAGAAGAACAAAGGUCCAGUCGGCCUAGCCACUACUGCGACCCGAGCCACGUCACUCUCCCUUGACAGCAUUUCUAGUAGAAUAAGGAUCCAGUCGGCCUAGCCACUACUGCGACCCGAGUCUUUCAACCAGCACACAACAAUUCAAUAAUUAAUUGCACAAAUCAUCACUCAAUUUGUAAUAUCUAAUCAUCAAUUUCAUAUUCUGAAUACACAGCAGCGAUCAGCACAAAAUUCUGAGAAUUUAGGGUCCCAACUUAAUUUUCGGAAUUUAUUUAAUAACUAAAUUUAUUUCGAAAAUUAAUUAAAUAAUAAUAUCCCUAUCUUUCACAAUCCACACUCGAUUUAUAAUAUCCAAUCAUCAAUUUCAAAAUCUGAUUACACAGCAGCGACCGGUACGAAAUUCUGAGAAUUUAGGGUCUUGACAAAAUUUUCGGAAUUUAAUAAAUAAUUAAAUUUAUUCCGAAAAUAAUUAAAUAAUAAUAUUUUAAUAAUUUCGAAUAAUAAAAUAUUAUUAAAUCAUUAAAGAAUUUCGAAAUAUUUAUUUAAUCCCAAAAGUAAUUCAUUUAUGUCAAAUCAAGGCUUAUUUUAAAUAAACCCACUUACCCUUAAUUAAGCACACUUUAAAUUAAACCACCACCUUAAUCAAAUCUACUCUUAAUUAACCUAAACUAACAACCUAAUAAUACUUAAUAUAAACUAAACCUCCUUAAGCAUAAUUAACCCUCUAAGCGAGGUUUAGUGAGCUAAAUUCACCGGAUUAGCGAGCCGAGCGGACCAAAACGACGGGGACGACGCGAGGAUCGACUUUCCUCAAAGCGGGCCGAGCAUCCGGGCUCGGGAAGGCGGCCAAAACGGGCCAAACACCCGCUGCCAUACCCAUUUUUCCAGAUUCUGUUUGGGGCCGAUGGAGGGCGGAUCCGGCGCCGGAAUGGGCGGAGGAGGGUAGGCGGCAGCUUGGACGGGCUGAAGGGGAGGUCGACGGCGGCGGAGGGAGCUCCGGCGAAGGCCCGAGCUGCUGGAACGCAGGCUGGCACGAACGAGGGCGACGAGCAGGCGAGCUGACCGGCGGAGCGGCGUGCGGACGGCGCGGUGCGGCGGACGGCGCGCGAGUGGCAAACGGAAGUCCGGCUCCGGCGGCUUGCUAUUCGAUCUUCGCUGCUGCUUUCGCUCUCAGAUCUGCUGGAGACGUCGAGCAGAAACCGGAGACGGAGAAGAGAGGAGAGAGGGAGGCUGAGGUCCGAGCGGCGAGGCGCGGCCACGACGGCGGGCGGACGGGCGAAGGCGGCGACGGCUCCGGCUGCAGCUGCGACGGUUGCUGGCUUCUGGUUGCUGGGUUCGAAGCUGGAGAAGAAGAUGGAGAUGGAGAGUGGUCGCACGGGAGAGAGGAAGAAGAGAGGGAGGAGAGAGAAGGAGGGGGCCCUUUUCAUUUUCUUUUUCUCUUUCUUUAAUCCAACAAAAAUGGCCCACCAUGACCUAGGAUGACAUCACACUCCACUAUCUCCCACAACCUUAUUCCAAUGGUUGCAAUUCCAUUUUCCGUCGGGGCAUAAAACUUUGUACAUCCAAUUUCUUCAAUUCUCAUCAAUUCUCUCCCAAUUGAAUCAAAUUGAAGUCCAUAAAAUUAAUCCAAUGUCACCACACUCUAGUUCACAUCUUCACUUGUCCAUAGAACCAACUUAAGUCUCAAAAGCGCGACCAAAGACGAGCCUACUAAUUUCUUGAGCCAAAUUAGCCAUUCUCUGAUUAUUUUGCUGAAAAACUCGGUUUGCAUGAAAAAUCUUCUGAAGAUUAGUCAAUGUUCCUAAAAUGAUUUGUGACACACCCAGACUUCCAAUUUCUGAAUUCGAUCUCAAUUUCACGGUUAAUUUCACUUUGGCAUGAUACUAGUGCGGCCCAACCUACCGGGUAGCUUUUAGAAAUUUUCAUGCAUUUGACCUGUGGUUGAUCAUCGGAAGCCACAAUGUACAUUUUUGAAACAUUGGCGACUUUCGGUUGUCGGGGUAAUCUCAAGAUUUCAAAUACGAACACAGGGUACCCAAUCGAUAGAAAAGUCGGUCCAGUGUCGAUCGACAAGAAUUGUGCGAUCUUGUGGAAUCACCCACACUCGAUCACAUGCCUCUGUCGAGUCAACCUAUUUCCGGUCUCUAAUCGAUUUUUAUUUGUGCUGUAAUGACCCUUGUAGAUUAGCUCGGUCGAAAGAUCGCUUCCUGGUCAAAUUCUCAAGUCUGAUGCAUUAGAAUUUCUUAACGGCUUCACCUGAUAGAUUAGUUUUCACAUGAGUGGCCGACUCAAGGAAAAGAACUAUAUGCGUGCCAACGAAAUGCCCGUCUCAAUUUAUUGAAAAUAGAAUUGGAAAAUUGAGAUGUCACAAGUAUAUUAUCCCUAAUCCUUCUCCCUUUAACAAAUGCAUUCUGGGAAGAAUCAACCAAAUCGCUCAAGAUAACAGCUAGGCGAUUAGCCAAGAUUUUUGUGAUGAGCUUAUAAAUAGUAUUACAGCAAGCGAUAGGUCGGAAAUCAGUCACAGCACAAGCAUUAGGCACUUUAGGUACCAAGGCAAGAAUGGUACUGUUUACCUCUCUCAAAAGACGGUCUGAAGAGAAGAAAUCAGAAACCGCCUCCGUCACCAACGGGCCAACAGUCCCCAGCAAGUCUUAAAGAACUCAACAGUAAAGCCGUCAGGACCCGGCGCUUUUCCUUUUGCGAGAGAAAAGAGCGUAUCUUUAAUUUCAUAUUCCAAGACCGGUCUAGAAAGGGAGAAUACCUGAUCAACCGACAAAGGUCUUCGAAUGAACUCUUUAACGUCCUGCAAUGAAGGCUUGGAUAGCACCGUUUGAGGAGAUAAGAGAUCAUCGAAGAAAGAGACAAAAACCUGUGGAACCGCUAAAGGGUCACUGAUCAAAGCACCCGAAGAAUCCUUAAGUGAGAGGAUUCUAUUCCUAAGCUGCCUUCUCUUGACGGAAUUAUGAAAAAAUUUAGUAUUUCGAUCACCUUCCUUGAGCCAGCGGAUUCUUGAUUUAUGCAUGUAAAAAGAUUCCUCAUCUCUAUGCAAGUUCACAAAGAGCUUACGGUGCGCCUUCUCAAGAUCAACAAAGUCAGAGUUGGUUGGAUCAAGAUGAAGAUCAAGCUGAGCAAGACAAAGAGCUUCUCUAGCUUCCGCUGUCCUCACUGAAAUAUUGGAGAACUCCUCCUUAUUCAGUUGUUUGAGCCGGCUUUUUAGCACCUUCAGCUUGGAUACUAGUUUGAACAUAGCAACCCCAACAACCGGAGUAUCCCAAGCUUGCUGAACGAUGGAAGGGAAGUCAGAAUGCUUAGCCCAGAGAUUAAAAUAUUUGAAAGGCCUUCUUUUAAAAAACGGGUUAAGGACUCUGACAACCAUGGGCAAGUGAUCCGAGAUGCCCGGAUUCAGGAACGAGGCCUCAGAGAAAGAGAAUUCCAUAUUCCAUUUAGAAUUAACCAAAACGCGAUCGAUUUUCCUCAUUUUUCUAGAAGUACCAGCAGAGGUCAACCAAGUAAACCGAAGGCCAACAUACCUAAGAUCACCCAAUUUAGUCUGAGCUAAGCAGUUUCCGAAUUCAUCAAAAUAAGGAAUCCAUAGGUUGGAGCCACCAAAUCGGUCCGAAGGAUCUUUAAUGGCAUUAAAAUCUCCAGCUACGAACCAAGGCAUAUCCUGCAUAAGAUUAUUCAUACGGAGCAAGUCCUCCCAAAGAGGCCGGCGGUGAUUGAAAUAAUGUUCUCCAUAAACAAUAGACACGCAACAAACCAUACCAGUCAGGGUGUAUGUAAGUCUACAAUGUACAGCUUGAUCAUUGAUCAACAACGUUUCAUAGCUAACAUACUCAGGGUUCCAGCCCACCCAAAUUCUUCCACGAGGGGAGAAAUCAUAAUUUGCAACUCAAUUCCAACCAUUCAAAAAGGAGGAGGAUAUAGAUUCAAAAGAAACUUCAGGAACUUUAGUCUCGAUAAGGCCAAUAAGGCACAGAUUGUGGGUGGAGACAAAUCUCCUAACUUCUGCCCGCCUAACAGGGUUCAUGAGGCCUCUUAUGUUCCAAGCACCUAUAUACAUAUUUAUAAAGAAGAAGGAGAAGAUUACCUCUUCUUGGUGGCCCUUUUCCGACCCACAGUCGGAUUAGGAGCCACAGAAGAAGGAGGAUCCGGGCAUAUAAGCAAGAGCUUAUCUUGGAGUGUCUCAAUCGGGACAUUUUUGUGAGGGGCUUUCGGAGAAGGGCAUCCAAUCGAUAGCAGGUCCUCAUUGUCCGAAACGGCAUGAAUGCUGGAGUUACCAAUCUCGUCCGAACAAUCAGAUAGAAUCAAAGGAGGAGAGACGACUUUCGCUUUUGCCAAAGAAGAGCUUUCAACAACCUUCGAGAAAGAUAAUGAGAUUCCAGGAGUCUUGUGAGGCAACGAAGCAGAACCAACUUCCCUAGAUACAGGGCCUUUUAGUUUUAGCUUUAGAGAAUGCCCCCCUUCAGUGGGCAGGGCUAAACUAAAAGAUGCAGCUCCUUUCUCGACCACCUUCUUAUUUCUUUUUACUUGCUUCCAUCCCGGGUCAACAGUAGCAUGAGGGAUUGCAGCAGAGACAGUAGGCAAAGGCAACUCCUGAGCUCCUUCGCAUCCAGAAGCCAUUGCAGUAGAAUUGAGAGAGCUCAGAGAUUUAUCAGCAGUAGAAUUUGUUACCUUAUGCAUUUCAGGGAGGGUCUCCUCUGCUGGAAUAGGUCCAGCAUCACGCUUCUUAAUAAACAAGGGGUUAUCAUGUGUUCUGUCCGAAGACUGAGCGAACUGAGGAUGCGAGCUUGCUUGAACUGCAGGCCGAGAAGAAGGGUUAGGAGAUGAAGUCCCAUCUUGAGGAGCAUGGGAUCUAGCGAUCAAAGAACGUUGAGCAUUUGCAGUAGAGAGCUGAGCAACACUAGCACUGCAUUUGUGGCCAAAGACACCACAACCUACGCAAGCCGUGGGUCUCCAUUCAUAUUCUACUUUCACCAAACACGAAUUGCCCUGGUGAACCAAUUCAAUGGACUCACAUGAAGGCUGCUUUGUUGUAAUCUCUACACAUACUCUAGCAUAAGCCAGAGCUUUCAUUUGAUUAGUACUUGUGUCUACAUAAAGCAGUUUACCAACCUUACUUGCAAUCUUACUGAUAGCCUGAGAAGACCAGAACACGGGAGGUAAGUUUUUAAGCCUUACCCACACAGGAACUGUAAGGUGGGAGUCCUUCCUCAAAUCCAGGGCCGGUCUCCAUUGUUGCAACACAAAAGGCACCUUUGAAACGGUAAUAAGGCCUCCUUCCAACACUUUUCUCCGGAACUCCCAAUUCGGAAUAUGGAAAUAGAAAAACCCCUUCCCAUCAGCCAUUAGUUCGACCAAAUUAGGCCCCCACGCCUUUUUGAAAGCUACUUCUGUAACUUUAAAAGGAAUUCUUCUGCCCAGAUAAUAUCCAACGAGACAAUCCUGAAGUUUCGGGUCAGCAGCCUGCAGAUCAUCAUCAAUCAUUUCCACAGAUGGCCCAUCAUUGACUGGAGGAAUGAACUCCAAGUCGUAGCCUUUGGUGGCUACUCUGGCCACAGCCACACUCGCCCAAUUGCGCAGGUUUGAGCUUCUUGAGACUGCUCGCUGAGGUCACUUCGAAUCUGAUCUACCUUUGCUUCUCCCUCGUGGCCCAUCUGGAUCACGAGUGGAACGGGCUUGAACGGAAGGCUGCUUCGAACCAGCAAGGGGCCGAACAUAACCACCCAAGUUCUCAUUAGCAACACCGCCACGAGAGGAGGGGCCAUGGUCAGGAACGGGAGGGCUACGGACAGCCCUUUCCCCCUCAAUUUGGGCUGAAGAAGUUUCGGGAUCCAUAACAGCAACGAAUUGCAGAGAAAGGGCGAGCAAACCCUAACCAAACUCGGCCAUUUGAAGCCCAAAGAGAUCACGUACCAGGGAAAACUUAAGGGGGGUUGAAGAGGCCUACCAAGCGCCCCAAGUCGCCAACAACUAGCUUCAACGAACUGUCAGCAGGAACAAGGCUUCAGACGCCCUUUUUUGAGAGCUUCGGAGAACAGAGCGACGCACGGGAAAAGCGACACAAAAGGGCUGAGGUCGGAGACGGAUACGCGGGCGCUGGGCAACGGGAGCAGUGAAGGCAACGUCACUCGGAGCUCCGGCGACGGAGCCGCUGGUGGCUGCAGCGAGAGAAGCGACGUUCGGCAGCGCGGGCGUCGGCUGAGAGGCGCUCGGGCGGAGGGCAGGGGCAGAGGCGCAGCGACGGCGGAGGGUAGGGACGAAGGCAUAGCGUCGGGCAAAGGCAGAAGCAUGGACGCUGGGCGAAGCUGCUGAGGAGGCAGGCGAGUGGGCGCUCGAUGUAGCAACGAGGCAGAGCUUCUUGGGAUUCUUUUUCUUCGGAAAAACAAAAUGUUAGUGAGGACAUUUGUGGAAGAAAUUUUUUUAGCUUAUUCUCCCUCAACCUUCCGAGAAGGCCGAAUGCCCAAGGCAGCCCCCAACCUGCCUUGGGCUUUCAGCUUUGAGAAGACUUGCCUUUGGCAAAAGCAAGUCAAAAAAAAUUUGCCAAACACUGAAUAUUUGGCCCAAAGGCCUUUAGGGGUUUAAAGAUCCUUGGCAAAGUGGUUGCCAAACGCAGUCUAAGUCGUUUAGUAACUAUUCAAAAUUUAUGAUUCUGAAAUAGAUUUGUGUUUUGUAUCGUGCUCAUUAAUUCUGUUUCAAAUCAAUUUAUUUUAAUUUUUAAAUAAUUUUUUUACUUUUUACUUUUUCUUUUUCUCUUAUUCUUCUUCUUCUUGUGACCCGUUGCCGGACCGGCCACCAGCCAAAUGAGGGUUGGUGACCUCAUCGGAGCGUCGCCGGCCCUCGGCGAGGCUGGCCCUCGUCAGCCGAGCCUCGCCGAUGGCCAGGUCGGCCUUGCUGGGGCUAGCCCAGCCCCGGCGAGCUCGCCGGACUGGCAGACGGCGGACGGCGGCCGGCAACUAGCGACCGGCUGUCGGCAGACGGUGGCGGACAGUGGUGGACGGCGGUUGCAAGAUGGCCGAAGGGAAAAAGAAGAGUUGUUAAUUUUAAUUCUCAAUUCUGAUUUUGAAACAAGAAUCAACUUUUUUUUUAUUCUUGAUUUCACUCUCAAUUUGUUCCUAUAAACAAAAAUUUUAUUAAAUGCGAUUCUACACCAUUUUGAGAAAAAAAAAAUCAGAAUUUGGUCAUGUUUGGACCUUGCAGUCCCACCUUUUCUUUUUCUGCAAAAAGCAAGUGUCCCAGAUUUCUUAAUUGCCUCCCUUGAUCAACCCCAUUUCUCUCUUCUUCUUUUUUGUGGUUUCCCCCCAGCAUUUUAGUUUCUAUAAAUAACAAGUCUUCACCAUUAACAAGACCGAUGAGUCACCCAGCAAACUAAGCUACCCAGUGACCGAAACGCACUCCAGAAAAUGAAGAGGAACCGAUAGAGAAAGGUUACCAACAAUUGAAAAUAGUCAAAAACCAGGUAGAUUGCAAAGACUGGUUGAGCACACUCGUCAACGGAAGGACGAAUUAAAACACACGAGAGAGAGAGAGAUGGAGAGAUAAAAUGAGAAAGGAAAACCUUGGGUUGAAUUUGAUGAAGGUGCGCAUUGUCAUUGAGAAUUGUUCUUCCUGAUUUGCACCAGCUUCUCCUCUCUCUUUCUCCUCGCUUCCUCGCCGCUCACGCCCUUCCCGUACCCGUUCUUGCGCGUCGCACUGGAUGGUCUCAGAGACAUUGCUCACCUCCCUCUCAACUCCCUCCCCCCCCUAAGGUCCCCAGUAGCGGGUCUGUCCUCGGCAAGCUCCAAGAAAGUGAUCAACGUAGCAAAAGGAGGAGGCAGAGAGGAAGUAUGGCAAGUGGGUAGGAAAAAGCUGCCCUUUUUUUGAUAAAAGAAUAGCAGAAGACGAAAUUAACAAAAAAAAAUAAAAAGCAGAAGACGAUAGACACCGGCUCGGGCUUCGUGCAGAGUGGAGAACGGGAGAGAGAGAGGGAGACGGUCUGCAGCGGAGAGAGAGCGUCGCAGAGGAGAGCAGAGGUGGGCCAGGUCUACAGGAGAGAGAGAGAGCAGAAGAGAGGGAACCAAAAUUUUAAAUCGCUGAAUGCGAGGCGACACGUGUCAGCUUCUGAACGAUUUUACGUUUGGCUUAAAUGGGAGUGUAAAACCACCUAAUAUUUUCUAACUAAUUAGGUUGCGUAUCAGAACAAAAAAAAUAUAUAUAUAUAUAUAUGUUUGGUAACACCAAAUUGAUUUUCUAUUUCGGAGAAUAGAAAGUUAGUCUAAAAGUAAAUUUGGAGUAAAAAAGAGAAACAAAAAAAAAUUGCUUAUGUUCCCGGAAAUAAUUUAUAUAAAUAAGUAAUUUUUUUUCUUUUAUUCUUCUCUCUUGUCGUGGCCACUUUCAACCACCUGGAGCCACUGCCAACCGCCCCCGUUGCUGGUCGUCGGCCGCCAAUUGCUAGCCUCUGCCACUGUCAGUCGUCGUCACCGACCUCCUCUGCUGCUGCCGCCGCCGGCUUCCGCCGCUGGUUGCCCACCGCCGCCGCAUGACCACCCGUUGCCAGCCGCUCGCCACCCGCCGCCGCAUGAUCGCUAGCCACCGACCGUCGGUAGCCGAUGGGCUAUGCGGCGGCGGUCGGCAAUGACGGUCAAUGGUCGGUGGUCGUGUGGCGGCGACCAAGGGUAACGGCCGGUUGCGGUUGGCAGUCGACAAUCCGUGAAUAAGAAUAAAAAACGAAUAAAUAUAAAAAAGAAAUUGUUGCGUUACCAAACGCAUUUCUAUUCUUUUUCUAUUCCAAAAGUAGAAAUUUUGUGUAAUUACCAAACGGGUUUUUUUAUUCAGAAAUUGUUUCUCGGAAUAUAAAUAGAAAAGAACUAUUUCCGAAAAAAAAAAAACUCUUCCCCAAUCAAGAAAUGUUGUCAUGUGCAUCCUUAGUUGCCACUUGCCAAGUCUUGUUAGCUUGACUUUUUAUGUUGUGGGAUCAUAAAAUUCCAGGGCGGGUCGGUCCUUACCUCUCGAGCCUCUCCACCGUCGCGAGAGAGAGAGAGCAGAGCAGCAAUAAAUAAAUAACGGUGGAGCCCACAGUUGCUGGACCCACCUAACUUGGAGNNNNNNNNNNNNNNNNNNNNNNNNNNNNNNNNNNNNNNNNNNNNNNNNNNNNNNNNNNNNNNNNNNNNNNNNNNNNNNNNNNNNNNNNNNNNNNNNNNNNAACAAACCAAAUAAUAAAUUAUGAUAAAUGUUUCGAGCAGGUGGACUUAUCCGAUAUACCCAACCCCCUGCAAUCCCUAUCUAUCUUAACUAGUUAGCAAGACAAACAUUCUUGAGGAAACAAGGGACUCCCAUUCUUAAAGAAAUAACUGUAAAUUAUGUAAAAAUUCACAGCUACCAUCAUCUUAAGUUAAUUUUUGAAAAAAAAUACUAUGGAACACUUAUUUGUUACUUACCUAUGAUUUUCAGCAAGCUUAUUUACAAAUCCAUAGAAUGAUAUCGCCCUGUCCAGAUUUCUGCCUCUAUAUUCACUUUGGUGGGGGGGGGGGGGUUUGGGUUGUUCAAGGUGGCCGGGGUGGCUUUGCUGCGGUAGAGUUUCGGUUGUGAGACUUGAUGCGGAUCACCUCAACCCACCCAAUUGAUAUUUGCUCAUGUUAUGCUGACGUGGCAUCGUCUUGGAAGAAUACACCGGAUUGGUCGAAUUUAAUGGAGACAAUACGUUGAAUAUAAUUUCAAAACUUGUGCUAUCUUGUCGGUUCGAUUCCUAGCUGUGCUUGAGAAUUGCUUAUGCGUCUCUUGUUAUAUGAUUCUUGAAAAUUCUCUCUUUACCAGUAGUCGCAUCAGUUCGAGUUCCGAAAAAUUUCAUCUUUCUCGUGUUAGAACUCUCUCUCUCUCUCUCUCUCUCUCAAUACAGUGACAACAUACACGACGCAACCUACUCGAUCUAGAACAGCAGAGCAGGGAGAGAGAGAGAGAUCUGUGUUAGCGAAUCAGCAUAUCAUCUAUCGAUUCGCCUAUCUAGGGUUUAUCUUCGAGGUUAGGAAUUUGAGCGUGCCGGUACAUGGAAUUGGGGAAUGAUUCUCUUCGGGGCUUGUUAUCUUGAGUAUUGAGAUCGCGUAUCUAGGAUUUAUCUUUCUUGCUUUGCUUGCUUUGCGAUCUUGUAAAUCUGAGAUCCUGGGUUUUCAAUUUCCACCGUUCUAUGGAUUUCUUUUUUUUUUUGUGGAUUUUUCACUAUAGAGUUCUGUCGCGACCUCUUUUUUUUUUCGGCGCCCGCAAUCGUGUACGAGCGCCUAAGGAGGCUAAUGGCUCGGCUGAAUUUAAUUAUGCCCGGACUCUCCCAAGUCCACCAAUUCACGACUUUAAUAGUCUAAGUUUUUAACCUGUAAAUCAAUUUUUAAAUUGGAGUCGCCAUUAAUCGAUUUGGGGUGGGUCGAUUAGAAACCCAAGCGAAGUAUCGGGAGAAAUACUCGCUCCUGCGUAACCAGAGAAAUUAGGAUCGGGGACUUGAUUACACUAGUUAAUCACUAAUGCCCUUUCGGUACCUAAUCUUGUUUAAACCCUGAGGUUUUUGGAUGUUCGAGGGAUUUUCCAUGCAUUUUUUAGAGGAAAAGUAUUUUUCUCAUUUUUUGGACAUAAAAGGGAUUUUUUGGUAUUUUUUGGAAAAGUACAAGUCUUUUUGGCUUUUUCUGAAUUUUUUUGGCUUUUUCAUGAAUUUUUGGCUUUUUUUGGAUUUUUGGCAUUUUUUGGAAAAUAUGAAAUUUUUUUGAUUUUUUGAUUUUUUGAUUUUUCGGAAAAUAAAAUAUUUUUUUAAUAUUUUUUAAUAUUUUUGGAAAAUAAAUUAUUUUUGAUUUUUCUCGAUUUUUUAGAAAAUAAAACAUUUUUCAACAAUUUUUUAAUAUUUUUCGAUUUUCUGGAAAUUAAAACAUUUUUGAUUUUUUUUAAAUAAACCAUUUAUUUAUUAUUUAUUAGAAUAUUAAUUUAUAUUAAAAUAACAAAAUAAAACCAACCCGGGUCGGAUCCGCAGGUUGGGUCCGACCCGGGCCGGCGACCCAAACGCGGAUGGGCCCGCGUUGCGGGCCCGACUCGGAUUUUUGCCCCCCCUUUUUUUUUUUAAUAUUAAAACGACGCCGUGGCCCAAAAGCCCGUUUUCGAAAAGAAUCGGGCCAACCCAUUGACCCGGUUCGGCGAAACCCUACCCGAUUCGCCGAACCGGAUUUCCGCCGCCCAAAAAUCAUGGAAACCCUACCCGACUCGCCGACCCGGCUCCGACUCCAUGACCCGGCUUCCAACCUCCCUUGGCCUCGCGAAACCCUACCCGACUCGCCGACCCGGCUCCGAUUCGACGACCCGGAAAAUCGCAAACCCUAGGGUUUGCAAAUCCGCGGCACCGAGGGAGGAAAACCGAGGCAUUACGACGGCGAUGGCGACGGUGACAAACCGGCUACGGGGACGGCGAGGACGAGCAACAACACUGUUGCGCUGGUGUGGUUGGUGGCGACAUGGUCCGAGAGGGGGAAUGUGACGGCGAUAACGCGAUCGACGGCGGUGACGGUUACUGUUACCUGUCCGUGACGGGGUGGCAAAUGGUGUCGGUGACAGGGCAACUCGGUUUCCCGAUCUGGCGCUGCGUCGGUGGACCAAUCACGGCAACGGCUUCACAGGUGGGCACAACAACAAGCCGUCGAAGCAACGGCGUCGGGACUGAGGCGAACGGCUGCGGCACGGCGUCCGGCGGCAACAACAGCAGCAAAAAAAACCAGAUCUACUGCGUAGCUCUCGGCCGGACCCUCCUCGGCCUUGAUUCCUCCUCACUCAGGCCAGAUCCGAGCCUCCACCGGCCGGAUCUGACCUUCUCGAAGUCACUCGCCGCCUACCUUCCCCGAAGUCUCUCGGUGGAAGGUGGGCUGAGCUCGCGACUCGAGCUCUCUCCUGCGCUCGCCCUUCAACCCUUCCCGAUGUCUCUCAGUGAAGGAUCUCCGAGCUCGCCACACCCUUCGACGAUGCUUGCGGCCACCUAUUUAUAGGCGAAGGAACUCCGGUCGACGGAGGGGCUCGGUCGCCGGCCUCCAGCUUGCCCACCGGUUCCGCUCGGCUGAACUGGUGUCCCAUCGAGCUUUCUAGCGAAGCUCGCUCAGCAUUAAUGGCACCUGCGAUCUUAUCCCCUCCGGCCGACAUUGCCCUACACUCCUCGGCCGUAGGUCGUCCUUUGCGCGCGUCGCCGGCCACCGCGCGUGAGAUGCAAGCGACUGAGGAAGAAGAAGACAGGAGGAAGAAGAAGAAAGAAAAGGGGCCGGGCCAAGGGUGAAGGAAAAUGGGCCAUAUGGGCCACGCGGAGGGGGAAGAGAAAGGGAAAAGAAAAAGGGCUGGGCUUUUGCUUUUUUUUUGUUUGUUUGUUUAUUAAUUAUCUUAUUUAUCCGAAAUAAAAUAAAAACUUAAUAAAAUAAAAUUAACCUAAUUAAAAUUGAGGUGUCAACAAGUUCCAAUUUUCGCCAUCUGUUCUGAGCUUUGUUCCUUAGUGAAACCCUAAGUCCUAGCACUCUGGUAGCUGGUCUUCAUAUAGUCCUGAUUUUUUGAACCUUUGACUGCUUUGAUUCCGCGAAUUUCUUGGGUCCUUCGGUGUAUCCGGGGAUCUCUGCUGGGAAUUUGUGAUUUUUUUGAUCGGAUGAAUUCAGUUCGCAUCAUAUACGGAUUACUUGGAUCUUUUCCAGGUAUUUGACCUUUUGGAAACAGAUUCUUGAAUGCUUCAACUGGAAAAUAAAAAUAAAAAUGGCUUUUAAGUGAAAAGGCAGUCAAAGAUUGAACUGGGUGUUUCUUGUUUGCUUCUCGGGGAAGUGACAAUCACGAGGACGGUCAAAUUUCGUGCUUUCAAGCUUGAUGGAUCUCUAAAUCUAGGAUUCUAAAUCUAAGACCUUGCACUUAAGCCUUGCUUAUUUAAAUGAAUUCUGCAGGAAUUGGGAACUGAGUACCUAGUCAGGCCUGUGGGUCGUCCUGAGGAUGAGGAGGAUGCAAGUGACUUCGAGCCUGAGGAGAAUGGCGAGGAGGAAGACGCUGACGAAGAGGACGAGGAUGAAGACGAGGACGAUGCUGGUGGUAAGGUCGAGCCUCCGCCAAAGAGGAAGCGAUCGGACAAGGACAACUCUGACGACGACGAUGAUGAUGGGGGAGAGGAUGAUGAGAGACCUGCCAAGCGAUAGGCCCAAGGGCCCUUCGUGGUCUGAGCAAUGACUUUGACAUAUUGACUCUAUUUUCUCUCUCAAAACCCGAUCCUCUUUGCAGCAGGGAAAAAAGAUAGCUGGUUUUCAAUUGGAGUAAGCUUUUUCUUUUGGAU